rnacentral:lncRNA from 1 species
AUUUUUUAUUUAGGUUCAAAUUUUUUAAAAUUAAAUGGACCAAUCUAAAUUACAAAUCUCAUGUAAUUGUUUUAUAAAAACAUAGUUAUUUAAAAUGAAACUUCACAAUAAGAAUAAAUUAUAUAUAUAUAUAUUUAAACAUCAUCUUAAAUAACAUAAUAAGGUAAUAUUUUUACUAUGAAUGUAUUUUUAUUAAAUGAUUAGAAAACCUAAAAAUUGUUUAAAGAAUAUAAGCAUAUCAUCUGAUAUUGUAUUUUCUAUAAAAUUUUGUUUGAUGUUAUGACUGUUAGAUCUAAGUAAACAAUUAAAAAUUUCAGAUUAAAACAUAAUUAUGAUUCAUUUGAUUCGGACCGAGAUAACCAAAUUUAUGGAAUCUUUUUUUUUUACAAUAAUAACUAAAACUAGGUAAAAGAAACCACCAAUUCAGAUAACCAAACCAGACGUGCCGAAUUAACAUAUAGCAAAGCAGAAGGAGAAAUCCGAGCAUUGUGUGAAAAUUUGUCCGCCAUUAUAUUUUUUUCUCUUGUUAUAUGCAUGAUCGAGAAAUUAGGGAAGAAUUCCUUACAUCGUUGAAAUUAGUCCAUGUGGAUAUUAAAAGCUGGCCGUUCAUCUGGUGUCGACACCGACACCAUCUACACCAAAUGAGAAAUAGUUUGUUGCAAAAACCACCUCUGUAAUUUGAAAGGUCUUCAUGCAAUCCAUAGCCCAAAUCAGUUCUUCACAUUAUGUAUAUAAAUGUGAUAAGCAUCUUCCAAUUGUCAUUGCUCCCAACAUAUAAUCGUAAGAGCUUGUGGUACAAAACCAACCUUGACCUGUAAAAAGAUCCUUUUCUCCCCAAGAUCCAUCAAUACAGCAUAAUCUGGUACCUACCAAUGGCUGACAUAAGUAAGUAGGAAAAAAAACUCAUCUUGUUCUUUUAACUCUAUAAGAUGAACCUCAGCCCAUAAAACUCUUUCAAUUUUUGUUAUACACACGAUCUCCUAGAGUUACUAUUUUAAUCUUUGUAAAUCUUAUUAUUUCUAUUCUUCCACAUAUACCACAUAAUCCAAGGAAAGUAACUGACAACAUAUUUUUUUGGGUAAUAUCAACAAUAAAGAGUCCAUAUUGGUAAAAUCGAUGAUGUUGGAAAAAUUCCCAGGUUUGAAGGUGUUUAUGACAUAACCCAUGUCAGGAGCAGUGAUGAACAUUCAAAUAUAACAUGAUUAAUUGACUCGUCUUCUUCUCUUCGUAUACUACAUCAUGUGUCACAUGACAUCCUGCGGGAUUGCAUAUUUUUAGUAACUAGUAGGAUACCCGAUAUGAUCAGUUGAAGAUUUGUAGUGUUGUCAUGAAUCAUAACUGAAAGUACAUCUCUCCUUCAUUUUUAUCAGCUAUUAACUUCCCACAAUUCCUUUGAUUUUUAUUGAGAUUUGGAGGGUCAUGCAAAACAAAUGAAGUAGAGAAGACCAAGUUGAUGGUCAUGUGAUAAUUCAAGAAAUCAAGUAGCACAAGUUGAUGAUCAAAGAAGACACUGAAAUCAAGGGAUGAGCGGCAACCAAAUGAAGCAACAAUCAAUUCCAAGAAACCAAACCAAUGAAGAAGAAUUGCUCACCUAAAAAAAAGGAAACAAGGUGGUUGGAGAGGCAACCAAAGAAGAAGCUCCUGGAGAUUCAUAUCAAGAAGGAGAAUCACAAGAAGAACAAGAGGAGUUAAAUCAAAAGAUUUAAGAGGGAAUUUUGGAAUUGAACCUUUGAUUAAACAUACAAAGAGAAGAUGACUCAAGAGAGAGGAAGAAGUGGAAGCAAGGGAGCUUUCCACACACAAAAAAAAACAAUGAAAAAGUUGACAAGGACAAGUUAAGAGGCUAAAAAAGAAUUGAGAUGUGACUUAGGGCAUGACUGGUUUAAACGCAGCGGUUGCGGUUGCGGUUGCGGGAGUUUACGGAUGCGGGCGGUUGCGGUUUAUAGCGGUUUUAAGAGAUUUGUACGACUGGUAUUGCGGUUAAAAAUUGGUACGUUUGCGGGAGACUUAUGACUGGUUAACUACCAAAUGCGGUAACGGUCAAAUAAUAAAUUAAAAAUAUUUAUAUUUAAUAUACUUAUAAAAAUAUCAGAAAUCAUAAAAUUAUAAUAAAUAUAAAAUUUAUAUUUCAAAAGUUAUAAUUUUAGUUUUUUUAAAAUUAUUGAAAUUAUUAUUUUUAUAAAUUUUAUAAUAUUAAUUAAAUCUAAUAGAUAUAUUUAGAAUUUUUAUAAUUUCAAUUAUAUAAAUUUUAUAAUAUUAAUUAAAUAUAAUAGAUAUAUUUAGUAUUUUUAUAAUUUCAAUUUUAAAUUUUUUAUUAAAUAUUUUAAAUUUUGUAUAUAUAUUGUUUAAAAAAAAAUUACCCUCCCGCAACCGUCCGUAACCGCAACCGCUAGCUGGAGCCAGCUUUUGAAUUUAUGAGGUUCGGAGCGGUUUAGAGCGAUUUGAGUGAUUGUUGCAAACUGCCAACAACCGUUACCAACCGCAAAAGCUGCGUUUGCGGGUGAUAGCGGGAAAACCAGUCGCCCCCUAAGGUAUAACCUAAAUUCUAGUUUGGUUAAAGGCAACAAAGAGUGAAGUGUUGGAUAAAGCCGACUAGUUGUUAUACCUAUUGGGACUUGUUGAGAGUUGUUUAGCUUGAAGUAAGGCCUAUAGUUGUAGUAGUUAAGUGUACAAGUAUAAGUAUGUGUGUAGUUGUUGGUGAAAAAAAACAACUAUAAAUAUGUGUAAGUUUGUAUGUUUGAGAUUAAUGAAAAGGUUAACAGUUUAAAAAUCAAAGUGUUCUCUCUUCUCUCUAUAAAAGAACAAACAAACAUGAGAGUAAAGAGAGAGAGAGAGAAUGUGUGUCGUGUGUUACAUUAAAACACAAGUAAAAACAGAGUAAAACCAGAGUAUGUCCAAGAGUACAAAACAGAGAUGGAGCUGGUCGUGAGUGAAGGCAAAGACAAGAAGUUCAACAAGCUUCCAUGAGAAAGACGACCAUGUAGGAGAUCUAUGAGGCUUUCUGUUGACAAAUGUGGUCACAUCAAGGUCACUGAACCGGCUGUCCUAACUGUUUAGGAGGACAACAAUCUGUCUUGUGGAUCACAAUCUUGUCUAUGUCGAGGAAUGAUCUCUAGUCCCAUGUCUAAUAGUUUUGUUGUAUAGUCUGUUAUGUGGUCUGUAUAUGUAAUCUUUCGGUUGUAGUUGCUUUUGUAAACUAUUAUCUCUCCUUAUGUUUGAUUCUUGAUGCUUGAAGUGAGAGGUUAAUGAAAAGAAUUUGGUAAAUAGGCUCAUGUCUAUAGUAUUAUCUUGCCAAAAUUACUUGACAAUCUUGAAGUUACUUAACAUUCUUGAAAUUACUUGACACUCUUGAAAGUUAAAAAGCAUAAGACGUGACUCAGUUUAUUGUUACUUAUAAUUAUUUACAAAUAAAAAAUACCAAUCCAUCAACUUACCUUCAACAUAAGAAAAUUUCAAAACAUAUCACAUUUUUUACAACAAAUUUCUUCAUUAAACAUGUAGCAAACUUAAUUAUGUAAUAGACUUCUCAAAUAUAUCAGUUUAGCUUACACAAUAUGGAUGAUUAUGACUUUGUAUGCUACAAGUAACUGAAUCAUUCUAUACAAACGAUAUUAAACCUAACUAAAAACGUAACUAUCAUAUUCAAAACAUUAAUGAGAGAAGACUUUUGGAGAAGUCUUUUUGGAGGAUACUUCUGAGGAAGUACGUUCUCAUUAGUUAUAAACAUAACAGAACAAAAAUAUUGUUAAUCUCAUUAUUAUAGAACAUUAGUUUAUAAAAUUCAUUUAGGAGCUCCAAAAUUUACAAAUACAGAUAAAUGUUAAAUUUGAAAAAUGCAAGUAUACUAAAUUAACGAGGAAGACUUCUCAAGAAAUUUUCUCAGAGCAAACUUAUACAUGACUCUCCUAUUUAGGUUAUUUUUGAAAUUACAACUAACGAAUGAAGACUUCUUAAGAAGUAUGCUUAACUAGCAGACUUCUUGAGAAAUCUUCCUUUAUAAAUUAUUGGGAUAAUUUUCUUAUUUGGAAAAAAGCCAAAUUUUAUGAGAAUAAAAUUCUCGAGAAGUCUUAUCUGACAAUCUGAUUAAUUUUGCAACAAAAGAGAAAUUUAAUCUUUCAUAAAAGAGUUUUCGAGAAGACUUCCGGAGAAGUCUUCUUACUGUCACAUAAAGUUUCCGGAGUGUCAUAUAAAGUUUGGCAGGUUAAUUUUGCAAGUGAUCAUUUUUGACUUUACAAGAGUAAAAUUAUAGAAAAUUAUUAUAUGAGAAAACUUUCCAAUAAGUCUGUUCAUAAAACCCAAGGGUUUGACCAAAAUAUUCGAAUUAAAAUAGAGAAAACUCACAUAAGUGCGCUAAAUAAUUUUAAAAUUAAAUGUUUUAUUAUUCUUUCAAUUGCAAAACUGACCUUAACAGAUUUUUUGGGACACUUCGCAGACUUCAUAAGACAGUAAGAAGAUUUCUCCAGAAAUCUACCAACGUAACAUUAUAUAUUUCUCCAUAAGUCUUUUAUGAAAAUGUCAAAUUUCUGCAAAAUUACGGCAAGUUGCAAAACUAACCUCAUUUUUAUGGAGACUUCUCGGAAGUUUACUUGAUUGUUUUGUUAAAAUAAAAGUUAUCAGACUUCUAUAAUAGUUUUCUACGAAAACCUCACAAAAUAGUUAGUUGCAAAGCUAACCUAUGUAUUGACCAAAAGACUUUUCGAUAGAGUAGAUUUCUGGAAAAGUCUUCUAUACGAAGCUGAUCUGAAACUUUUUGAACAUCAUACCUAGAUGAUCUGAUAAAAGUUCGUGCUUAAUUUCUCUGAUCAUUCAUAACUUGUUAAUGAAAGGUACCCAUUCAUUAUUGACCAAGAAUCGUGAAUUUGAAUAACUCUAAUGAAAAUCUGAUUUUGAAAUCGAAAAUCUUGAGUUUUUGGGAUGAAUAAGAAAGAAACUGAAAGAGAAAUGAUUGUGUCUGUAAGAAAUGGUAAUAAAAGUUAACCAUUUUGGCAAAACAAAAUAUGCUCACCGCCCCUCCUGAUUUCACAUUUGGGCAGCUCAAGACGUGUGAAUAAGUACAUUUUUAUUUAUAUUUUCCAAUCCAUUUACUGCUGAAUGCAGAACAAAUCUCAUGCUCCUAAAAAUUUGAGAUGUAAAUUGCAAUUGGGAGCUAUGACUGCAUUUUGGUUUAUAUGUCUUCUUCCGGAUAACAAUGAGAACUAUAAUUGUAAUCAUGCAUAAGAUAAAGAGGAGAAAAACAGAAAUUAAAAGACUCAUAAAAGGGCAAAAAAGUUGAAUUUUCUAGAUCUAUGCAUAUAAGUUUCACCAACAUUAGUUUAUGUUUAAUUAAGUGCACUGAAAAUAAAUAAGAUUAAUUAAAGUUAAGCAAAAUGGUGAAAUUGCACUAUCCAAGUCGCAUGGGAGACUUACAGAAGAUAGAAAAUAAUAUCCUAGGUUGCAUGGAAACGGAAACGGAUACGUUGAAACGAAACGUUUCGAAACGUGGAAACGUGGAAACGUGAUUUUUGAUUUUUUAUGCUUUGGAAACGUUUUAGAAACGUCUAUAAUAUAUAAGUUUCCGAAAGAUUCUGAUUCCGAAACGUGAAACGUACAUUCGACCGAGUUUUCAUGCAACAUAGAUAAUAUCUAUGCAUGUGAGAAAGAGAACUGUCCGGUCCAACUUUGCUUUGGUUCAUGCCUUCAUGGGAUACUUGACCACCACAAAGUCUUUCAACUGCAUGAGAAAUAACAUUCUCUAAGCUAUGAGUAAAAUAAAAAUAUUUCAUUUAUAUAUUUUGAUCAAAGAGUAUACAAUAAGUCUAAAAGAGCGUUUUAUAAAUUAAAUCAUUUAUUAUUCAGUUUACAAAAUCCAAUUUAACUGUAUUGUUUGUGUUGAGCGUUUAUGAAAUUGAAGCAUAUGGGAUCACAAACUCUGUUCCUUCGAAAUCGAUCUUACCAAGACUGUUAAAUAGUAAUGACUAUCUUCUCCCUUGUCAUUGAAAUCAUUGUAUUGCUUCAACUCAGACAACUCUUGAAGUGUUACCGCACAUAGGUAACUUGCCAUUCAGGUCCAAAGAACUUGAAGAAAGGUAAGAAACGGAAUUUAGUGCCUUCAUCAUCCCAUUCGACUCUUUCAAACCAGUCUUCCUCUUUGUAUUUAAUAGCAAACUCUUCAACCCUGGAGACACUUUGAGAAUCCAAUGGGAGCUUUCUCAGCUCUGGACACUCAGUUAUGUGGAUUGUCUUUAGACAUGGAAAAGGCAAAGGUGCCCAAUAGAUGUUCUUCAACGUUGCUAAAUUGUGUAAGCGCAGACUCUCCAGUUUCUGGAAAGGAAUGGCAACACUCGUAGCUUUCUCCUGGCUUAUUAUUGCUUCUAAUAGUCCUGAUUCAAGAACCUCAAGGCUAGUGAUGUUUGGAGCGAACAAAAGCCACGUUAAAUCCUUCAGACCAUUGCAGCUGCUUAUAUGCACACUAGAGAGGUUUGGGAAGCCUUGAGUUAAUGAUAAAGUCUUCCUCUCUGCCUUUAUCUCCCACAUUUCACACUUCCUUAUGAUGACUUUACGGAGACUAUCCAUACCUGGGAAAGCCAAUACUCUGUGUGAUUCUUCCUCAAGCUCUCUAAGUACUACAACUUGAAGGCAUUUCACCAACCUGGGAGCAUAUAACAACUUCUCCACAACCAAACUUGACUUGAUACUUAUGUUGAGAACUUGUAAAUGUUCCAAGAGUUGCAACUCCUCCACUAAGCUCAUGUCUAGCGACAUUUUAGACUGUAGUAGUUGCAGUUUCCUCAAACUCAACAAAUUUGAUAUUCCUGAAACACUCUUAAGUCUCUUCAUGUAAUCCAACCUCAAAUGUAUGAGCUUUUUCAACUCUAGCAAACCAAGAGGUAGCCGCCUGAUGCAUGUCCAUGACAAGUCAAGAUAUCGCAAGGAGACCAACUCUGAUAUUUGUUCAGGCAGUGUCCGGAGACUUGAGUUCCCGGCCAGAUCCAAGACAGCGAGCAUAGGGAUACACCGGAGGAAAUCAGGUGAGAUAUGUAUCAGUGAAUCAUUUUUCUGAAGGAAGAGAGUUGUAAGUUUGGAGCACUCAGAGAUGCCAGAGACCAUCUCAAUCUCAUUUUCCAUGAGAGACAUCCUUACCACAGCACUCCAGUUCUUGAUUCUUGGUAUCUCGCAUAACCCGCCUCUGGCUUGCACAAUACAUUUUUCUUUAUCCUUCCCAAGAUCAGAUGCUGUCCAUAGAUCCAUCUCCCGAACCACAUCAUGCAUUUUCACUUGUUCUUUAUUGAUAACUUCCUCCAACAACAAACAUGCACGUACAAGUGUACCAAUGAUCUUAUAGCCUAGGCUUAAUGCUCUUUCUCUACUUUGGUUCUCAUCUAGGAACCCCUCACACAUCCAGUAGUCUAUCAACCUCUCUUUUUCCAUACGGUGAUCUUCAGGGAACAAAGAAGAAUACAGGAAGCAUGAUUUCACCUGCUCCGUGUUUAAAUUAUCAUAGCUAUACUUGAGGAUCGGGAGAAUCUCAUCUUCCAUGCCAGAAAACUCUGCAGCAUAUGAACUCAAGUGGUUAAUAGCAGUACGCCAUUCUUGUACCGUCAUUUUGCAUGCCAUGGUCUCGCCAAUGACAUUAAGUGCUAAUGGUAGACCACAGCAUUUUCCAGCGAGCUUUCUUGCGAGAUGAGGGAUGUCUGGAUGGCCUUUCAAUGUGUUUUCUCCAACUUUUUUUUAAACAAAUCCCAAGCAUCUUCUGGUUCUAGACAACUGACUUUGAUAGGGUCAUCAGCCCCCAUACGCCCACACACAUCUCUCGAACGAGUAGUAAAAGCUACUUUGCAUCCAUUUUGUCUGCUUGGAUGUGGGACUCCAACCGCUUUCAAAUUCACUUUCUCCCAUAUAUCAUCCAGCAACAACACAAACUUUCUCCUCUUGAGGACAUUGUGUAUCUCAAGGGCCCUCUGGUUUUCAUUUUUUUGGCCCCACUCCUCUCCUUCAAGGCCUAGCUUUUUGGCAAUGUCUCCUUGAAUCCUAUGGAUCUCUGGACUUUUAGACACCACAACCUAUAUCACUACCUCGAAUCCUCCUCCUCCUCCUCCUCCGCAUGUUUCGGUAAACUUGUUGUUGAUUUGUGUGAGAAGGGUGGUUUUGCCUACUCCACCCAUGCCAUACAUACCCACAACCUCGACUCCUUCUUCCAUGAGACGAGUCCAUACCCUUUCAACCAUUGUUUCUUGACCAACAAUGGUGGGUUGAACAGGCAUCUCAUCCACCUUAGCUACUAAAGUUGUCUCAGUCACCACAGAAAAUUAUCCUUGAAAAUUGAGACUCUCAACCUCCUUCAGCAUCCGAACAACCCUCUUCCCAUAAAUAUAGCUCAUCUUCAUAUUUCUAGAGCAGAGCCCACAAAGACACAACCUUCGAAGCUCAACGUUGUUAGUGCUAAACAGAUCAUUGAAUCUGUUCUCGGUGUUCAGGACAUUAGUAAGCCAUACCUGGACUUGAGAAAGCCUCUCACGACGCCCUGUAAACUCUUCUCUGCAAACCUUUCUUUGCACAUCAUCUCGCUUCGCCUUGAGCACUUCUAUGUCUUUCUGCAGAGCAGCUAGAUUCUCUGAAAGGCUGUAUAUAUAACUCUCAUGAGUGCAAAGACAUCGAGACACUUGAUUCACCACUUGGUCACAUGGCAUGGAGAUCGAGAAUAAACCUCCCAUUGCAGCAAAGAGAGAAAAAAAAGUCAGAAGCUGAGCCCACAGUGAGUGACAAUUAAUAAUUACAAGCAGAAUGAGUAGAUAAGAACACACAGCCGUAUAUUAAAGUUCAACCACCCAUAGUGGGAAAAUAAUACAAAGGUGUUAGUUAUCUGCUGUAAAACAAAAUACAACUUGCUUUACAGCUCAAACACAGGUAGGGACCAUGAAGACCUGAAUGCAAUUUGCAAACAUCACUCUCCCGUUCUGUAACUUCGCUACAACCAUCUUCAUGGACACGCUCAAAAAAUAAGAAGAAACUUUGAUAUAUUAGUUUCAGAUAAUUGGCAUAAACAUAGACAGAGAACAAACAUAUUUGCAAUCUAUCAUCAGUUCAUGCAAGACAGCAAACAAACCCAAUCUGUAGAACUGCAAUCAUCUUAGAACGACGGUGACCUCAAAUUGAUGGACGUAUCCGUACCGGAGACGUUUCCGGGACGGCACGGGGGGACACUUUGGGGAUGGCAACCAUUAAUUAUGGAAUGUUUCAAAACAGAUUUGCUUUAACAUUAUCCUUUCCUAAGCUUAUUCACUUACUUUUCUUCCAAAUAAAAAUAAAAAAUACAAGUUUUAACUAGAUUUUGAACUUAUAACCUUUUUACUAGUAUUUUUGGUUUAUAAAUUUUUAUUAGAUAAGAUUUACAGUGAUAUUUUUUUAUUUUUCAUUAUAUCAAUAACAUAUAUGCUACUCAUAAUUUUUAGUUUUGCCGUUUCGUCCCCCGCUUUCGUACCCCGUAUCCGUCUCGGUACAACAUAGGAUACAUGACUUAACAAGCAUCAUUUUUAUCGACAAAAUAAAAUAAAUUCACUUGAGAAAGGAGCAUUUCAAAAAAUCUUCAUAGAGAGAAAUCACCACACAGGUGGCGUUCACACUGAAAUUUGAUCAAAUCAGCCCAAUUAUAUAGGGUAUAACUAUAGACUGACUCAGAAACAAAAUAAAUAGAAACAUAAAACACACAAAAAAGAGCAAUUACGCGAGUAAUAAUCUCAGAUACUCUUAAUGAGGCAAAAUUUAUUCUGGCAUACUCUUACAAAUUCUAAAAUACUCUCUACUCUUAGUGAAAUAAGAAAUUUCCAAUUUUGCCCUUACAUUUUCCCUCCUCACUUGAAAAAUUAAAUUUUGAAUUUUGGGUAUCAAAUUCAAAAUAUGAAUUUUGAAUUUUAGUAAAACUAAAAACCAAAUUAAACCAAGUUACACCAAUGCCGAAGUACAAACUUGGUAUAACUAUGUCAUAGUUUUACCAAGUUAUACCUCGAAGAUGGUAUAACUCGGUUUUAGUUUUACCAAGUUGUACAUUUGUCAAGGUACAACUUGGUAAAACUAUAACCUAGUUAUACAGUUUUACCAACGAUUGCACGAGUUGAUAAAACUAGUACAAAGUUUUACUAAAUUGUACUAUUGUCGAAGUACAACUUUGUAAUACUUUGAACCUAGUUUAAUCAUGUUCUACGGUUUUACAAAGUUGUACUUUAACGAUUGUAUAACUUGGUAAAACUUUGUUUCUGGGUAGAAGUUUUACUUACACAUUUCUCAUAUAUUCUUGCAGCAAGCCAGAUUUGUAGAGAGAGAGAGAGAGAGAGAGAGAGAGAGAGAGAGAGAGAGAGAGAGAGAGAGAGAGAGAGAGAGAGAGAGAGAGAGAGAGAGAGAGAGAGAGAGAGAGAGAGAGAGAGAGAGAGAGAGAGAGAGAGAGAGAGAGAGAGAGAGAGAGAGAGAGAGAGAGAGAGAGAGAGAGAGAGAGAGAGAGAGAGAGGGAGGAAAGAGGAAAACAUAUGAUAUUUGAAGAAGAACCCUAAAAUUGCGAACAAAGAACAACAAAUCAAAAAAGAGGAGAAACAUAUAAGAUUUGGAGAAGAAUGGAUUCGAAGAAGAAGAGAUUCGAAGAAGAACAAAGGAAAAGCAGAACAACCGAAGAAGAAGAAAAUUAAAGACAAAAAAGAUUUGGAUCGGAGAAUGAAAAAGAAGAGAGAAAAAGAGAAGAGAGAAAAAAGAGAAGAGAGAAAGAAGAUGAAGAAUAGAAAUGAAAUAUAGAUUUGUAGAGAUAAGAGAUAAAAUUAGGUUUAGUGGCAUGUUGUGUAAAUAAGUAGAUUCAUAUUGGGUAUAUUGGAUUUUUUAUCAGAUUUCGAAUUAAAAAUAAAUGAAAAUGAAAUGAAUUAAAAGAGAAGAGUACUGGAGAAUGCUGUUUUUUUUUGAAGAGAAGUGGAGCAAUUGAUUCCAAUUACGCAGCAGAAUCUUUUUGUUAAGAUGUUAAGAUCUUAGGAGUUUGAUAGUAAUUUUGUGAAUGAACCCAAGUCGUAUAUCUAUGUAAAUUUCCAUCAAUCAAGAAGACAACACAAUUUAAUAUUGUAAGAUUCCAAUAAUAUCAAAGAGUACACAAAUUAUUAUACCGAACUUGGAAUGUGGUGAACAAUCUUAGUCCAACUCGUUGCAAUAUUUGAAUCAGCAAAAAUCGGGAAUUCUCGUGUAAUGUUCCAAGAAUAACAAUUGAUAUAGAUGAUGCUAGUUGCAGGCGUUAUUAAAAUGGCUCUGUAAUUUUUCAUUCUGAUAAACAAUAGAAAGUUGAUGCAUAAACAAUAGGAAUGAUUGUUUGACUUUUAUGAAUGCCGUACCCGCGGGAUCAAAACGCCAAAUAACCUUUUUCUAAUGGAAAGAUUAGUUUCACCAAUUUUCCAAUCUGAGUCCACAACCCCAAGCCGGUCAGUCAGUUUCAUCUAAUGGAACCUGCUUACAAAACAUGGUUGUUUGAACCGAGAACUAUCGACAAACUAGUAAGAAGAAGAGACGAGAACUUGUCGGUGGGUCAAGACAAAAUCGUUUAUUAGAUUAUAGAAUCGUUUGAUUGAGUUACAAAACGGGAAAUAUGCAGUAGAAAGUAAGUCGGUGAAAGCUAGUUCGCCGGAAGGUACAAGUCGGCGAGAGUAAGAUGUAAAACCCUAAUUCUAGCCAAAAGUUGUACUAAGGAUUUGGGAGAAUUCUAGUUUUUAUUCAAAUCUCUCCUUAUUGUAUCUAGUAUUUAUAAAAGUUAUAUCAAAUCCACCCUUAUUGAAUUAAUCAUUUAUUCAAAUUCUUUCAAAUCCCCCCUUAUUGGAAAACAAAGAUUUCAGUCCUAAUAUUUAUCAAGAGUUAUUUGGAAUUAUUAGGUCAUUGGUUUUAUAGACAAAAUUCACCGGAAACAAAUACCAUCUAAUGAGAUGGUAUUUCAAAAUAAAUAAACAAAACAAUUUUUUUCAUCUUCUUCGUCUAAUCUACGUCGUCUGUCUCUUCUUCGUUAGCUUUGGUCUUUUGACAGUACCAAGACUAGAGAUAUUUGAGUGUCAAUUUUAAUUCGAUGGAGGAGUACCAAGUGCAGUUAACUAUGGCGAUCAACAUCUUAUCAUGUUUUAGUGUUUAGAUGAACAGAAAUUGUGAGUUCUUCUUCAAGCAAACAUGGAGAAAGUGUGCUCGCAUGAGAGAGAAGGAAGAAGACAAAAUAAAGGAAUAUUUCUGUUAGCCAUUUACGUGUGAUGAAUAUGUCACUAUAUACACUUGAUCUAAUCAGCUAACCGGAACAAACCGGGUUUGUAAUAUGUGCAAACUAAACCAAUAAAACUAUAAUGAACCAAUAUUCCCCCUCAAGAUGGAGCAUAGAUGUUAAUGAACUCCAUCUUGCUUAACAAAUGACGGAAGGGACCAGGGUAUAAAGGUUUAGUCAACAGAUCGGCUAGCUGAUUCUCCGAACGGACGUGGAGAGUCUUGAUCAUGCCAGACUUGACGCGUUCCCGAACGAUAUGACAAUCCCGUUCGACGUGUUUGGUUCGUUCGUGGAAAACAGAGUUGUUGGCAAUAUGUAUGGCAGCAGUGUUGUCACAAUAGAGAGGAGCAGGGCCUGUACUUCCAAUCCAAAGGUCUUCAAGAAGAUUUUGAAACCAAAUCAUUUCUCGUACAGCUUCAGACAUGGUGCGAUAUUCCGAUUCAGCAGUUGAACAAGAUACAGUGUCUUGUUUAUUUGACUUCCAAACGAUGAGGGCAGUGCCAACGAAUACACAGAGUCCUGAUACGCUACGGCGAGUGUCACCACAAGAACCCCAAUCCGCAUCAGCAAAUGCAGAAAGUUUCAAAUCAGAAGUCGAAGAAUAGAAGAGACCUUGUCCAACCGUGCCCUUCAAGUAAUGUAAAACUUUAUAAGCUGCGUGCAUAUGAGGGGUACGAGGGGAGGCAGUAAACUGACAUAGUUUGUGAACCGCAAACGUAAUGUCAGGACGUGUAAAUGUCAGAUACAAGAGUUUCCCCACUAAGCGUCGAUACCUCUCUGCAUUAUCCAAUAAAUCACCAUCUUCUGAAGAGAGUUUGAUGCUAGGAUCCAUGGGAAUGGAAGAGGGCUUGCAUCCCAGUAAACCUGUCUCAGUAAGGAGAUCAAGAAUAUAUUUGCGUUGGCAAAGAGUGAUGCCUGCAGAGGAGCGAGCUAUCUCUAAACCCAAAAAAUAACGAAGAUGACCCAAGUCUCGUAAUUUGAAAGAAGUCUGUAAUGCUUUCUUAAGGAGCUCUGUAGCAUGAUCACAACUACUGGCGAUGAUAAUAUCACCAAUGUAAACCAAGACAACCAUAUAAACAUUACCGGCAUGUUUGGUAAAGAGUGUGUGAUCACCAGAAGAAGUUUCAAAACCCAUUUGAAGCAAAGAAGCAGAGAACUUCAAAAACCAUUGACGAAACGCUUGUUUUAGACCAUACAAGGAUUUCUUGAGCUUGCAAACCGCAUUAGGUGGGAAAGAUUCCCCCUGCUUAGGUGCAUAUCCAGGUGGUAAAGUCAUAUAGAUCUCCUCCUCCAAGUCGCCAUUGAGAAAGGCAUUGGAUAUAUCCAGCUGAGACAAUGACCAGCCUUUAGCUGCUGCAACAGCAAGAAGAAGUUUCACAGUAGCUGUCUUAGCCACAGGAGCAAAAGUUUCAACAUAGUCCAAACCUUCUUGCUGAGUAUACCCUUUAGCCACAAGACGUGCUUUGUAUCUCUCAAGGGUCCCAUCUGCAUUGAUCUUAAUCUUGUAAACCCAUUUGCAACCCACUGCUUUCUUUCCAGCUGGGAGUGAACAAACAAACCAUGUAUCAUUGUCCUCUAGAGCCGUAAUUUCAAUAUGCAUAGCGUCACACCAUUCUUUCAAUUUGCAGGCUUGAGCAUAAGAAGAGGGCUCUGGAUUGCUAUUAAGAGCAUUGAUAAAAAUCAUAAACGCAUUUGAUAAAGCAUCGUAGGACAGAACAUUAGAUAUAGGAUGUUCAGUAGAAGAUGAAGCAGAGGAACAAAGAUAAUCCUUGAGAUGAGGUGGCGGUUUGGAAACUCGCUUGGAGGGAAGAGUAACCUCAGGAGACAUAGUCGGAGUAGUGGAUGAAGAAGCAGGUGUAGAUGAAUCCAAAGGAGUGAAAACCCGAGAAAAGAAAUCUUCAUAACCAUUGGGUAAAACAUCCUGAAGAAAUGGAAACAAAUUCUCAUGAAACACUACAUUCCGAGAGAUGAAGAUAGAAUUACUCUGAAUAUCAAGGAGUUUAUAUCCUUUAUAGCCUGAAGGGUAUCCAAGGAAAGCACACGCACGAGCUCGAUCUUGGAAUUUAUGACGUUGCUUUGGAGAAGUACUUGCAUAGCAGAGACAACCAAAAGUUUUCAAAUGAGAAAAGUCAGGAGCCUUGCCAGUGAGUAGUUCAUAAGGCGUGGUGUUACCAAUGACAGGGGAAGGCGUUCUGUUGAUAAGAAACACUGAUGUGAGGAUACAAUCACCCCAAAAACUUAAUGGAACACCAGACUGAAACAUCAAAGCCCGAGCAACGUUAAGUAGAUGUUGGUGUUUUCUUUCAACGACCGAGUUCUGCUCAGGAGUCUCAGGACAGGAGUGGUACGAGAUGAUGCCCUUGGCUUUGUAUAAGGCCUCAAAGCGAAGUUCUGGUGCAUUAUCUGCGCGAACUGACUUGAUUUUUGCAUCAUACUGAGUCUCAACAAGUUUGAUGAAGUCCGGAAAUAAAGUUAAGACGUCACUCUUCAGUUUGAGCAAGUAAACCCAAGUAACUCUUGUGUGAUCAUCCACUAUGGUGAGAAAGUAUCUGUAACCCUCCUGUGUAGAUUCAGAAAACGGACCCAAGACAUCAAUGUGGAGCAACUCAAAUGGUUUAGAACAUUGUUUAGGAUUCAAAGAAUAAGAUAACUUCUUUUGCUUAGCACGAUGGCAAAUGUCACAGUGUAACAACCCUUUAUUCUUUGCUUUAGAAAUCCCAAGUACAUCAUGUAGAAGUUUUAAUCUUUUAAAAGAAGUAUGACCAAAACGUUGAUGCCAAACAGAUGCAUCAAUAACAGCAUUAGAAUGAAAAGGAGACGAAACCAAAUCCUCUACGCCAGCAUCUUCCAAGUCCAGAACGUACAGGUUUGCUAUCCGACUACCUUUUCCAAUCAUCAACCCCCUGGAAGGAUCCUGUAUUUCAAAACAACCAGAAUCAAAGACCACGCGAGCACCAAUGUCUGAAGUCAAAGAACUGAUACUCAUGAGGUUCAAUCUGAAUUCGGGGAUAAACAACACAUUCUGUAGUGUCAAGGUCUUUGAAAUAAUUAUCUGACCAACACCACCAACUUUAAUAGUAGAACCAUUAGGAAGAUUCACAAAGUGGUGAACAGAAGUGUCAAGAGUGGUGAAAGCACCACGUUCAUGAGAAACAUGGUGAGUAGCACCAGAGUCAAUGAUCCAUGUGUUAGGAUCAGUAACACAAUUGGCAACAUUCAAAAUUCCAAUAAAACUGAAGGUGGAAGAAGAGAAUGUGAAACAAUUCAGAAGUCCUAAGUGAAACAAUUGUUAUAUACAAAUCACGGUUUGCAAUUUUUUGUAUCAUUGUUUGGGCUUUGGUCAUGUUUUUGUCCACUUUGUGUUAAAAAGUUUUGUAUUACUUUUUUUCAAGUCUAUUUUUUCAUAAAUUAUAUGUUAGUUAUUAUAUUGAUAAUGAUUAGAAUAUAUAUGGAUAUGAUAUGUGUUGAACUGAUAAGAACUGCUUAAGAUUAUCUCUUCUUUAGUUAAACUAAAAAUUGCAUAAGUAUACCUGAAUAUCAAACUCCUAUAAAAAUAUACGUGCAGCUCCUUUGCUACUGAGAUCAUUCAUUGCUUUUCUGAAUGUUCUUAACUCUCUUGGCCUCAAACAUGGUCAGACAAAGUCUUCUCUCUAGCCUUCUCAGCCUUCGAUUUGUUGAUACUUUGCAUCAGAACACGCUUGUUCUUGAAAAUGUUUCCCUUGACUUUCAUCUACAUGUCAUGGUACAUGUGCUUGUCAAUCUUCUUGGACUCUCUGUACUUCUUAAGAAGACGCCUCAAAACUCUUGUCCUCCUCAUCCAUAACACCUUUGUUGGCAGCCUUGUACCCUUUCUCUUACUGUAACCAGAGUGACGUCCCUUCAUUUUAGCAAUCUUCGUACGGCGAGUUUGGAAAGUGAGUGGAUCUUUGUCGGCUUCCUGAUGAUGAAACCUUCCUUCACAAGCUUCUUAUGUUUUGGCCCGAAUUGGCCAGAUAUCUUUGGAAAUAUACUUUUAUUUUAUUUUAAAAGUCUAGAAAAUCCCUCAUCAAAACCCCUGAUAAAAUCCUUAAAAUCCAAAUAGAUUCAUCUAAAUCCCAUCUAGAUCCCACCAUAUAUGAAAUCCCUAGUAUUUUUCCAAAUCCUUAGUACAAUAAGCCCCCCUAGUGUGUGGAGAUUUGUGGAUCCCUUCCUUGUUGCUUCUUCCCUCCCUUAUAUAGGCGGUCGUUCGAUAACCUAGCUCGCCUUUGCCUGAUGUGCCUUUCGUUGGUUAGGCAGAGCUUUCGGACCGCUCCUUCGAGUCGUCGAGUCGACUGCCUUAAGUCGCUCGUUUGAUCGACUAAAAGCAGUCUUGAGUCGACCCAAUCGGUCGUUCGCGAGCCGGUGAGCCGAGUUUUCUCUACAUAGUUACAGGUCAUGACAACUAUCCUGUGAGCCUUUUAGGAGGGUCAGGCCCAUACCCAACAGUAAGUCCCCUCAGUUCACUGGUGAGUAGCGUAGCGUACUCAGUAAAUUUGGAAGUAAGGUCUGAGGGAUAGAUGUUCUGGACUUGUGAUCUCGCUUAUUUCUUUGGCUGGAUGUUUCGCGUGUCUUCUUCGCGACUGAUCGCUGCAUGUUGCGCUGGGGUAUCAGUCAUUGAAUUUUUUUGGUUUGGACAAACCGAUAGUUUCCUUCGUUUUCGGGCAUAACCAAUGGUUUUCUUUGGUUUCGGGCAAAACCGAUUUUGGCCUAAACCGGUUCUGGUUCGCCUCGAGAAGUCGAAACGUCGCGAGACAGCGUGGGCAUCCACGCGCUUUAAUGGGUCCAUCUAAGCCCGUUUAGACCUAAUGAUGACGCCUCGGGGGAUGUGGCGCUCUUUCCUUAUAAAUACCCCUCUCGCCUCUCACUUUUCUCAUUCUUCAUCUGAUUCAAGUACUUUCUCUCUCCUUCCAUCUGCUUCUCCCUCUAGCUUUCUAGUCGUAGAUUCUAGGAUUUCGCGUGUUAUCCUUCGAUAGUCAUCAUGUCGACGAGUGGGAGAUUGUCUCGAAAACAUAAAGGGAAGACGGUAGCGACCGGCUCGAGUCCUGCGAAAGGUUCGGGAGAUUCUCUCACCGAACUCGAUGCGAAUCAUUUGUGAAAUGCUUUGUUGACUACCUUUUUCUUUAACUGGUCGUGACUGUUUUCCUAAAAUCAAACUGUGCAAAAAAGUAUGCACGACAUGAUAUAAGACUGUUUUUAAUGUUUGUAAACUAGUGCGUCGAAACUAUUUUAGCAGAAAACUCUUGUAGUUUAGAGCAAACAAGAUAAGAUAAUGACAUAAAUAACAUACUAGAAUUUCUAUACUAAAGCACUUGAUCGUGGUAACAUUUCUUAUGAGUCCCUAUGAUACUAGAAUCACUUAACUCCCAAUUAAGCCACCAAUCUCUCUUCUGACUUUCAACUGUUUCAGAAGCAGUUUUAGCGUUCCUUUUAACAUCAGAUUCAGAAUGGAGCCUUGAUUAUCAUCAGCAUACACAUCCACGAAUGUAAGGAUAUUUAGUAUUUACAUAUUUGAUUUCUCUUUUGUCAUACUUCCAAAGUUGGUUUUCAAACGAGUUGGCAAUAUAAUAUGAAUAGCCUGGAGGCAGAAAUUUUGAAAUUACAAUUUGGAUUUAAUUUGAAUGUAAAUGUGUAGAGCUAGGAGGAUGAUACUGUUUACGUGAAUUUAACAAAAUGAUGAAGCGUACAUGCUAGGAUUAUGAUGAAUCCGAUUGACGUGUGAGUGGUAAUAGAUCUUAGAUACAAAAUUAAUGCUUUGGAAGUUUAGGAACACAGCCCUUGUUAAUGAUGGUUCGAUUUUUCUGUAUAUUAGAUAUAUCAUGUAUAUUUCUCCUAAUACGAUUAUGUUAAGUUUCCAAUAAUUUAGGAUAUAGAAUCUUUUAGGAUCUAUCUUUACUUGGGAUGGAAGUUAUCUCUUAUAAGACUUUCUUAUAUAUAUAUAUAUAUAUAUGUAUGCGAUUUACCCUAUGAGUGAUAUCACAAUAGAGAGCUUUACUUGGUAUCAGAGCAGGCCCAACACCCUGACCCAUUAAUUCGGUUCGGACAGUGGCCCGAUCAUCCCAUUAGAUGAUGGUCUAUAGAAGGUUCUGUUUCGCCGAGAUUGCUAGAAAAUAAAGCAUUGUCUUGGAGAGAGUAUGAUGGAUUCUGCGAGGUUAAUGGUUAUAUGCACCAUUAUCUCGAGGGAGGAUGUUGGAGAGAAGAUCCCACAUUAGAAAUAUGUAUGAGACUUGAGUAAUAUAUAAGGGACUUAGACCACUCCACUUACCACCAAUUGGUUUUAAGUUGGAAGCCCAGAAAACUUGACAUGGUAUCAGAGCUAGAUUAUGAUCCUGGGACCUGUGGGUUAUGGGCCCAGUCUGAAAUUACAGCACUAGAAGACAAACAUACUUGGGAUGUGACCACUCUUCCUCUGGAAAAACAUGCUCUUGGGUGUAAAUGGGUCUUCAAGAUCAAAUAUAACUCAGACGGCACCAUCGAGCGUAAGCUCGCUUAGUCACCUAUGGAAAUCAGCAGCAAGAGGGCGGAGACUUCAAUGAAACAUUCGCUCAUGUCGUUAAAUUAACUACCGUUCGAGUUUUACUCAAAAUUGCUGCCACAUAAAAUUGGAACUUGUACCAGAUGGACGUCCACAAUGCAUUCUUGCAUGGUGACUUAGACGAAGAAGUAUAUAUGAGACAGCCACCAGGUUUCUCAUCUCCUAGAAGAAUGUUGUUUGCAAAAUUCAAAAGUCACUCUAUGGUCUUAGACAAACACCACGGUGCUGGUUUGCCAAGCUCUCUGAAGCCCUACUUAAAUUUGGUUUCAUCCAGAAUCGUAAGGAUUACUCUCUGUUCUCCUACGUCGACGGCAAUACAAAGCUAUAUGUUCUUGUUUAUGUGGAUGAUUUGAUAAUUGGCGGUAACAAUGAGGCUUUUACUGAAAAAUUCAAAGCCUACUUAAGUAAGUGCUUCCGCAUGAAGGACCUUGGUAUUCUUAAAUAUUUUUUGAGAAUAGAAGUAUCUUGUGCAAACAAAGGCAUCUAUCUCUCACAAAGAAAAUACGUCUUGGAUAUUAUUUCAGAAUGUGGUUUGUCUGGUUCAAAACCGUUUGACACGCCUGUAGAACAGAAUCACACUCUUGGACAAGAGGUGGGUAAAUAUCACACAAAUCCAGCAUAAUAUCGUAGGUUAGUUGGUCGGCUUGUGUAUCUCGUUAUCAACCGACCAGAGCUAAGCUACGCGGUUCACCUCCUAGCGCAAUUUAUGGCUAAGCCACGCAAGAAACACUGGGAAGCUGCUGUUCGAGUGGUUCGAUACUUAAAAAGAUGUCCUGGUCAAGGUCUUUUCUUGGAUUCACAACCGUCUCUGAACCUUGCGAUUUAUUGCGAUGCUGACUGGUCGGGAUGUCCGGGAACAAGACGGUCUCUCACUAGUUUUGUUAUCUUUCUUGGUGAUACACCAAUUUCAUGGAAGACAAAGAAACAGCCUACUGUUUCCAGAUCAUCAGCAGAGGCUGAAUAUCGAGCCAUGUCUUACACUUACUCGGAGUUACAAUGGUUGUUGGAGCUUCUGACAGCGUUCGACAUUACACAAACAGAGCCGAUACCAAUGUACUGUGAUAACAAGGAUGCUUUGCAUAUUGCUGCAAACCCUGUGUUUCAUAUGCGCCCCAAACAUAUUGAAUCUGAUUGUCAUAUUAUCCGAGAUGCAAUUAAGAACAAGAUCAUUUCUACAAAACAUGUCAGUUCUCAAGAUCAGAUUACCGAGUUUCUUACAAAAGCUCUUGGACGACGUCAGUUCAACUAUUUACUGUGCAAGAUGGGAGUUUGAGAUCUACACUCUCCAUCUUUAAGAGGAGUAUUAGAUAUAUCAUAUAUAUUUCUCCUAAUACGAUAAUGUUAAGUUUCAAAUAACUUAGGAUAUAGGAUCUAUCUUUACUUGGGAUGGAAGUUAUCUCUUAUGAGACCUUCUCAUAUAUAUAUGUAUGCGNNNNNNNNNNNNNNNNNNNNNNNNNNNNNNNNNNNNNNNNNNNNNNNNNNNNNNNNNNNNNNNNNNNNNNNNNNNNNNNNNNNNNNNNNNNNNNNNNNNNNNNNNNNNNNNNNNNNNNNNNNNNNNNNNNNNNNNNNNNNNNNNNNNNNNNNNNNNNNNNNNNNNNNNNNNNNNNNNNNNNNNNNNNNNNNNNNNNNNNNNNNNNNNNNNNNNNNNNNNNNNNNNNNNNNNNNNNNNNNNNNNNNNNNNNNNNNNNNNNNNNNNNNNNNNNNNNNNNNNNNNNNNNNNNNNNNNNNNNNNNNNNNNNNNNNNNNNNNNNNNNNNNNNNNNNNNNNNNNNNNNNNNNNNNNNNNNNNNNNNNNNNNNNNNNNNNNNNNNNNNNNNNNNNNNNNNNNNNNNNNNNNNNNNNNNNNNNNNNNNNNNNNNNNNNNNNNNNNNNNNNNNNNNNNNNNNNNNNNNNNNNNNNNNNNNNNNNNNNNNNNNNNNNNNNNNNNNNNNNNNNNNNNNNNNNNNNNNNNNNNNNNNNNNNNNNNNNNNNNNNNNNNNNNNNNNNNNNNNNNNNNNUUUAGAAAAUUAAAUUAGAUGUUGUUAAAAUUAAUAUCACGUAGUGAACCAUCUGGAGGUGUAGUAGCGAGGUUUGAUCUAUCGGUAUAGUUUAAUAGUUAUAUGAUCUAUCAGUGUAGUUAGACUAGACCUUCAAUGUUUUGUAGAUUUUGAGUUUUUGGUUUUCUUUGAUCAAAAAAUCAUUUAAUCACCCGUUAAACUUUAGAAUAAUCGAAAGCCAAAAAGAAAACUGCAUCCAUUCAUGACUAGUCUAUUCCGACACACUGGUAUAAAAAGCUUUAUGAAUGAAUUGACUUAAACUCACUUCUCAGAUUUGCAAAAGUCGAUAUAUGGAAGUAACUGAGUGAAUACUAAUUUAAAUACACGUUGUCAGAAAAGAACUUACAUGAGCGAAACAGAGAACUUCUUGGCUUCUUGCAUGAGGAGAUCAUCCUUCAUAACUCCAUCUCCAUUAUUGCUAAAUGGAAAAGAAUGAAACUUAUCACUUGUAUAAAGAAGUUCUAUGGUAUACAUUACGCGACGGCGACUUCUAUAAGCUUCCACAAUACUCUUCAGAUCGGGAAAGAAGAAACAAGAAUCUCCACGUUGAUGCAUUUGUUUUUAUUAUAAGUAGGCCAUCUACUCUGUAAAAAAACAGUGGAAAAGACAAUAAAGGUCAAUACUAUGAUUUGGACGAUAUUCUCGCUGCUGGUGCCUGGUGUUUAAUGGAAGUUGUAUUGGAGGUAAUAGUUAUGGGGUGCACAAAUAUCUACUUGAAAUAAUUUGGGGUGCAAUUUUGUGAACCAAAUAUUAUGUAUUGAUCCCAAAUAUGAAUUUAAUUUGUUAGUUCCAAUGUAUGUCUGGUCUUUCGUAUUACUAUAUGACUAGGAUAAGACCCGCGCCUUGCGCGGGAUUAAGUUAUUAUUUUUAUUAUAUUUUGGAGAAUGAAACAAUAGUUUGGCUUCAUUUGGAUUAAUCCGGAUAUCGGGUUGAUUUCGGUUCGGUUUGGUUUUUUUCGGUAUUUGGUUAGUAAAAUAUAACUACUAUUCUAUAUACAUAUUUACUUUGACUUUAGUCUUUCACAUACUUUUGAAAGAUUUCAACUGGACGACUAAAUUGAUCAGCCAAUCUUGUUGCUUUAAAUCAUUAGUGUUUAUAUAUAUAUAUAUUAUUUAGUUUGAAUAUUUAUUAAAUAAAAAUUCAUAUGCGUUAUAUUUUAUGAUCAUUUGUAACUUAUUAUAACAAAAAAAUAAUCUAUUGAUCACAAAAUUUUCAGAGUGGGAAUAUUCAAAUUUCUAAUAAUAUAUAGACGUUUUGAAAAAUUCAAAUAUAACAUAUAAGAAAAAAUAUAAAUGUUUUUAUUAUAUAUUUAAUGUGAUUUUUUAAUAUCUUUCAAUAAUAUAAAAUUAAAAAAAAANNNNNNNNNNNNNNNNNNNNNNNNNNNNNNNNNNNNNNNNNNNNNNNNNNNNNNNNNNNNNNNNNNNNNNNNNNNNNNNNNNNNNNNNNNNNNNNNNNNNNNNNNNNNNNNNNNNNNNNNNNNNNNNNNNNNNNNNNNNNNNNNNNNNNNNNNNNNNNNNNNNNNNNNNNNNNNNNNNNNNNNNNNNNNNNNNNNNNNNNNNNNNNNNNNNNNNNNNNNNNNNNNNNNNNNNNNNNNNNNNNNNNNNNNNNNNNNNNNNNNNNNNNNNNNNNNNNNNNNNNNNNNNNNNNNNNNNNNNNNNNNNNNNNNNNNNNNNNNNNNNNNNNNNNNNNNNNNNNNNNNNNNNNNNNNNNNNNNNNNNNNNNNNNNNNNNNNNNNNNNNNNNNNNNNNNNNNNNNNNNNNNNNNNNNNNNNNNNNNNNNNNNNNNNNNNNNNNNNNNNNNNNNNNNNNNNNNNNNNNNNNNNNNNNNNNNNNNNNNNNNNNNNNNNNNNNNNNNNNNNNNNNNNNNNNNNNNNNNNNNNNNNNNNNNNNNNNNNNNNNNNNNNNNNNNNNNNNNNNNNNNNNNNNNNNNNNNNNNNNNNNNNNNNNNNNNNNNNNNNNNNNNNNNNNNNNNNNNNNNNNNNNNNNNNNNNNNNNNNNNNNNNNNNNNNNNNNNNNNNNNNNNNNNNNNNNNNNNNNNNNNNNNNNNNNNNNNNNNNNNNNNNNNNNNNNNNNNNNNNNNNNNNNNNNNNNNNNNNNNNNNNNNNNNNNNNNNNNNNNNNNNNNNNNNNNNNNNNNNNNNNNNNNNNNNNNNNNNNNNNNNNNNNNNNNNNNNNNNNNNNNNNNNNNNNNNNNNNNNNNNNNNNNNNNNNNNNNNNNNNNNNNNNNNNNNNNNNNNNNNNNNNNNNNNNNNNNNNNNNNNNNNNNNNNNNNNNNNNNNNNNNNNNNNNNNNNNNNNNNNNNNNNNNNNNNNNNNNNNNNNNNNNNNNNNNNNNNNNNNNNNNNNNNNNNNNNNNNNNNNNNNNNNNNNNNNNNNNNNNNNNNNNNNNNNNNNNNNNNNNNNNNNNNNNNNNNNNNNNNNNNNNNNNNNNNNNNNNNNNNNNNNNNNNNNNNNNNNNNNNNNNNNNNNNNNNNNNNNNNNNNNNNNNNNNNNNNNNNNNNNNNNNNNNNNNNNNNNNNNNNNNNNNNNNNNNNNNNNNNNNNNNNNNNNNNNNNNNNNNNNNNNNNNNNNNNNNNNNNNNNNNNNNNNNNNNNNNNNNNNNNNNNNNNNNNNNNNNNNNNNNNNNNNNNNNNNNNNNNNNNNNNNNNNNNNNNNNNNNNNNNNNNNNNNNNNNNNNNNNNNNNNNNNNNNNNNNNNNNNNNNNNNNNNNNNNNNNNNNNNNNNNNNNNNNNNNNNNNNNNNNNNNNNNNNNNNNNNNNNNNNNNNNNNNNNNNNNNNNNNNNNNNNNNNNNNNNNNNNNNNNNNNNNNNNNNNNNNNNNNNNNNNNNNNNNNNNNNNNNNNNNNNNNNNNNNNNNNNNNNNNNNNNNNNNNNNNNNNNNNNNNNNNNNNNNNNNNNNNNNNNNNNNNNNNNNNNNNNNNNNNNNNNNNNNNNNNNNNNNNNNNNNNNNNNNNNNNNNNNNNNNNNNNNNNNNNNNNNNNNNNNNNNNNNNNNNNNNNNNNNNNNNNNNNNNNNNNNNNNNNNNNNNNNNNNNNNNNNNNNNNNNNNNNNNNNNNNNNNNNNNNNNNNNNNNNNNNNNNNNNNNNNNNNNNNNNNNNNNNNNNNNNNNNNNNNNNNNNNNNNNNNNNNNNNNNNNNNNNNNNNNNNNNNNNNNNNNNNNNNNNNNNNNNNNNNNNNNNNNNNNNNNNNNNNNNNNNNNNNNNNNNNNNNNNNNNNNNNNNNNNNNNNNNNNNNNNNNNNNNNNNNNNNNNNNNNNNNNNNNNNNNNNNNNNNNNNNNNNNNNNNNNNNNNNNNNNNNNNNNNNNNNNNNNNNNNNNNNNNNNNNNNNNNNNNNNNNNNNNNNNNNNNNNNNNNNNNNNNNNNNNNNNNNNNNNNNNNNNNNNNNNNNNNNNNNNNNNNNNNNNNNNNNNNNNNNNNNNNNNNNNNNNNNNNNNNNNNNNNNNNNNNNNNNNNNNNNNNNNNNNNNNNNNNNNNNNNNNNNNNNNNNNNNNNNNNNNNNNNNNNNNNNNNNNNNNNNNNNNNNNNNNNNNNNNNNNNNNNNNNNNNNNNNNNNNNNNNNNNNNNNNNNNNNNNNNNNNNNNNNNNNNNNNNNNNNNNNNNNNNNNNNNNNNNNNNNNNNNNNNNNNNNNNNNNNNNNNNNNNNNNNNNNNNNNNNNNNNNNNNNNNNNNNNNNNNNNNNNNNNNNNNNNNNNNNNNNNNNNNNNNNNNNNNNNNNNNNNNNNUUUUUAACAUAAUAAUUUUAAUAGUUUUAGUCAUUUAUUGUCGUUUUUAAAAAUUCAAAAUAUAACAUAUACGAAAAAAUCUAAAUUUUAUUUUUAUAGCUAAUUUGAUUGUUUAAUUUAUUUUAAUAAUAUAAAAUUAAACAAAAAAUGAUGGAGGAGAUAUACAUUGUUAUCAAAUCUUUAUUAUUAAACUCAUUAAUUGUCAUAUAUAUAUUAGUCAUUUAUGGUAAUUCCGUAGGUUUUAUUUAAGGAAAGAAAAUAUCAUAUCAUAUCAUUAUAUCAUAUAGUUUGACCAACUUAUGUAUCUAACAACAUAUAAAAAUCGAAUGUGGACCUACUUAUUUUUCAAUUGAAUGUAAUUGACUACCUAAUUGAGUGCCACCUAUGCAUUGGGGUCUCUUUUAAUUAAUACAAAAUUGAGGUUACAUUUUUUCAAAUGUUCCUCAAUUAAUAUAUAAGGGAUAUGUCAAUAGGUAAUUAAUGAUUAUUCUAAUUGUCGUUAAUCAUGAAUUUAUAUACAAAAUCAAAUAAUCUUGUGCAUGCAUCUUUUUGUAAGAGAACCAGCACAUUUAAAAUAGAAUAAAAUUCUCAAAUUGAUCUUUAAAAUUACAAAAGAUACAAUUUUGAGUUAAUGUAAAAUUCAUUCAAAAAAUCAAAGAACAUCUUUUUACAACAUUUUUUGGUGCUCUGUCAAGAGACUGAAAUUAAAAUAAAAAAGAGCUUAUUUGAAAGCUUAAUACUCCUUACAUCUAUAGCUCUUCUACAUUUUAUAAAAAAAAUUGAGAUCUCACAAUAUGUGCUGAUCCAAAAUAUUUCAUCCUCAAAUCGACGUAUCACGAUAUGAUUGCAUAAUAUACAUUCUGUAACAAGCUUAUUCAUGAUAUCAAAGCUCUCAUCCUAAACUUAAUACAUGCAUGUACAAGAGUCGAGAUAAGUAAGUCAUGGUGAUAUAAAAGCUCUUUUUAUAGAAUGGAGAUUUGUUGAAAAAAAAACAUAUGAUAUAAAAAAGUACAAUUUGGUUUGUACUUUUCCUAAGGUUUUGACGAUUUAUAAUGUGUUUCUCUGACUAAGGAUUCUUUGGUUUUAGUUUAAGAACUCGCGCAGGUAUUGUUUUUUGCAUUUUUAUAAAUUGAUAUUUAUUUUUCAUGUUUAGUGUUAUAUAUUUUAGAUGUAUCACUAUAUAACUAAUUGUAUUAAAAAAAUCUGAACUAAAUCGAAUAAUAUAGUUAUUUUUGGUAUAAAUAUUCCGAAUCCGUUUCAGAAGCGAAUCAUAUAAAUUCAGAAGGACCCAACUCAAAACCAACACAUAAAUUUAUAAUAUCCAAACGGGACCUAAUUUCAAAAACCAAAAAAAAUCUGAUGCCUGAAAGAAGCAAUCCGUAUCUGAAUAGGUAUCCGAAUUGUCCAUGCCUAACUGAUUCUAUAAACAAAUAAAAAAACUAUUUUAUUAUGUUUACCUAAAUUAAGUGAAAUAGAAAGAAUUUUCUAUUUAGUAAAAUAAUUAUACGAUGUGAAAAAUUAAGUGACAAUAUAUAUAAUACGUUUUAAUUAUUUUGAUUUAAAUUAUUAUUUUGUUCGCGUAAACUAUGUCUUUAAUCUAAAAAUAAAAACCUAAAUUCUCUGGCGGCGAUUUUUCCUCUCCCCCUCUAGAGUACCAUUUUCAACUUUCUCCUCAGAUCUGAGGUUUUCUCCGGUCCGGCACUCCUUGCCGGUGCUGUGAGAGGGUCUCCUCUUAUCCUUUUCAAGUUUAAUUUGUUCUUAGGUGUUUGGUCUUCAACGAUGCUGGAUUAAGGAGAUAUAGUUUCUGUUUGUUAUGGUUGCGGUAUAACCUUCCGACAAAGGUUUCUACUUUGUAUCGGGUGCUGUUGGGUUUUGUUGUUAGUCUGUGCUACAAGUUUCCCUUCAUCUGUUUUGGAGGUGGUUAUUUCGAUUGGUGUGAGGCUCUGGCGUCUUGUGUGUUGGUCUGAUCUCGUGCGGGAUGUAUGGCCUCUCAUUUCCUCCCCUGAAGAUGAUGGAUCCAGUUCCGGUUGUACUGAAAGGAUCAUGUUGGUGGGGCUUCUGUUGUUAUGUUCAUGAUGUGUAGUCAUAUCAAAGACUUGUGGAGAGCUCAUUCUCAUCGGUGGUUCGGCCACUGGAGAAGUGGUGCUUCUUUUGGUAUUGUCAGGUUGUGAAGUCGCACGUGAAGAGCCCAUUCACAGUCCAAUAGCAUAUCUUUUUUGGAUAUGGAGAUGGCUCUACAUCGACGGUUUUUAUUGCAAUCAGGACGGUUUGGUUUUCUCUUGAUCUGAUUGUGUUUUCAGUCUCUAGUGUUCUCGUUAUUUUAUUUUGUCAACUCAUAUACUUUAGAGUUUGAGUUGUCAUGAUUGGUUUGUCCUUGAGUCUGUAGCUCUUGCAUGCGAAAAGCAACCCAUUCUUGGGUUAUAGCAGUGUUGCGUUGAUAGAGAGAUUCUCGGUUCUCGUAGCUUCAGUAGAUUGGAAGCUUUUUAACGAGACUUGCAGAGUUCCCUAACCAUUGGUUGAUUGGAAAGAGUGAAAAUGGUAAUCUAACACUCUGGUGGUUUUCAAUUCAGCUGGUUUUCACCUUGACUAAGAUCUCUGAACUAUGGAAGUUUGAGGUUUAUUAGUUUCUCCAAUUUGAAUGGUGCCUAUUGGUAUCGAUCUAUUUUUAUUACUAACAGUUUUUCCUUCUUUGUACUUUUUCGUACUGGUGCGUUUCUGCAGGUCUUGUUUAUGUAAGACCAGUUUGGUCAAAAACUCUAUAAUGGAAUGAAUGAUUACGCGUUAAAAAAAACUAUGUCUUUAAAUUAUGUGUUUGGCUACGUAGUUUUUACUGAUUGAAACUAGGAUAAAAAAAACAUGCUAAACUAAAAUUUUAACCAUAUGCAAAAUCCGUUUAUUUUACAUUUUGAUUUUUAUAAUUGGUACAAAGUUAAUAUUGAUUAACUAAUAAAUAAAAAUCUGUAAUAUUAUUAUUAUUGUAAUAUAAUUAAUGAUGUAAUGUAUUGUUAAGGUAAUAUAAUUAAUGAAGUUGUUAAAUUGAGUGAAAAUAAAAUGAUAAUUAAUGUAAUAAUUUGUUGGAAAAAAGAUUAGUUCUAUUUGUACUUCAGUUUUAAUACUCCCUCUGUUUCAUAUUGAGCGUCGUUUUGGAUUUGUGCACACAGAGCAAGGAAACCAUUAAUUUUGUAUAUUUUCUAUAUAAAAACACAAUUACCUAUACACCAAACCAUAUUUCAACCAAUAACAAACAUAAAUUGUUAAUUAAAAUUAAUAAAUUUUGCAUUAAAAGUCGAAAUGACACUUAUUUUGUAAUGAAAAAAAAUUCUCUACAACGACACUUGAUAUGAAACGGAAGAAGUUAUAUAGAUAUAAUUUGGAGAUUGUAUACAAAGAAAGCGUGAAGAUUUAUAAUUUUCAUAUAUUAUUGGUUUUAGUUCUAAAUGAUAGAUAAACUUUUUGUCCAGUUCGUGAAGAAGAAUCAAAACUCAUUAUGCCUGCUUGAUUUUGCCAAGCUAUGUAAGACGUACUCGUCUUUUAGGAUCAAACUCUUAAUGCCUGGGUGUUUAGUAUCAGAAAAGUAGACUUUGCAACCUAAACCAACAUCAAUAUUUUAUCCAACUCUCCUAAGAUUCCUUGGUUGCCACUUUGAUAUUUGUCACCCUCGAUUGACAAAACUGUUAGUACUGUGAUUUGGCUGUAAUUUUCAAAAUGGUAAAUAUGGGAUGACUUCACAAUUUUUUACUUAUUUAUUUAAAUGUCAAUAUCGAGUUUUACAUGUAAACUGAAUUUAUUGUGAGAAAGUUCCACCUCACGGGUUCAUUACAGAAUCUAAAACAGCUUUGCUUUUUCUUUUCGUUGAUUUCACAUGAAAUUGUGUGGACACAUUGCGAGCAUCUGAGACGGAAUGGAUACAUAAUAAAAUUCUGUAACAGAACAAUUUGGCCCAUAACAAGAAUUUUUUACAUAUAGAUAUUUUACCUCAUUCUAAUUAUAGUACAACACAUUUAUCAUUUGAGACAUAUUUUUUUUUGUCAAAAAGAUUCAUAUGAUCAUAAACUAAAGAAAAUCUUUUUCUUCUUCUUAUUUCAUUUUAUUAUUAUUUUUAUUUUACUUUAUGUUUUCAUUCAUUUUUAUCUCAAAUUCUAAAAUAUAUUACACAAAAAUAAUUGUCAUAAUAAACUACAAAUAAAAUUAUUUAUUUUUAAGAUCUAUUUUCAUAUAUAUAUAUUUUAUAUAUAUUAAUGUUUAAACAAAAUUAAAUGUGGAAAUGGAUACCAUAACGUGGAUAAUAGAAUUAAUUAUAAAUUAGUUGUGGACAUGGACAUCUUAACAGAAUUAUAAAUUAGUUAUAAACUAGUUGUGAACAUGAGCAGUAUUCAUUCGAUUCCAUUCAUCAUCUUGGGAUCUAAAUUCAACUCUAAUCAAAUUUGCAUCCAUCCACAUCAUAACGAAGCGCAUAUCCCUUAGAUUAAAAAUCUCUGACAUGCAAAAUCUAUUAUUCUCCGACAGAAGGUAAACACUUCUUCAAUUUUUUUCUCUCCGCUCAUACUCACAUUAUCAUCUCUUCUCAUCUUGAUUGAAGUUUAAUUACAGAUAAUUUAUCAAUUGGGCUGAAGAAGCAAAUUGCUUGUGUUGGAGAUGACGAACCUACUGCUUCAUCUCUAGUUGGUGGUGGUACUAAAUCUAAGGAAAACUUCAAUAUUAUCUUUUGUAAUGUAUCUCAGGAGGUCCAUAUGAGAGAGAAAAAUAAGAAAAUUGUUUUAUUUUACAGCAAAGUUCUUAUUGUUUGUUUUUUCUCAAAGUUUAAGAUAUUUGAAGAAAAUAUAAUCAUCACAGUAAAUUGUAAUUUGUUUUUCUCUAUAUUUUAACAUCCAUAUUCAUAUAUAUAUAUAUUUUAUAUAUAUUAACAAUUAUAUAAAAAAAUGUAUGGACAUAAAAACUAUGGACGGAAAAUUGUGGACAAGUAAGAAAAAUACAUGAAAAAAAAGAUGUGGACAUGGAUAGAUACAAAAAUAUAAAAAAUCUUUUAAGAAGUUUCAUGGAUGUGUUUUCGUUGAUAACAUUCUUAUAUUCUCAAUCAUCUAUAAAAAUGUGGAUAUGGACACUUAGAUAAUAGAGUUAUAAACUAUAUGUGGAUAUAGACAUCAAAGCUGGACACAUACACUAAAACGUUCAUAUCCAUACUUUCCCCAAGUUUGGUCUAUAGUAAUUACAUAUGUUGACAUAGAUAUGAAAUACAAGACCAAGUGAAAGUAGAUAAACCACGUUUUGGAGUCUGGAUAGGAGGUGUUGAGCUGCAUCAUCCAUAGACUCUUAAUGGGUGGAAACAAGAUUGAUGUUUAGGACGUUGUUGUUGUGAACUACGUCAUAGACUCUUGAUGUGGUCAUGUAGUUAAAAUAUCUUGCUGCAUUAUCCAUGAAUUCUUGCUGUGGUCAUGUCAAGUAUAUCUUGCUGCAUUAUCCAUGAAUUCUUGCUGUGGUCAUGUCAAGUUUUAUCCAAAAAUCCAUCUAGUCAUAUAAUCAAAUUAUCGAUUCAGAGCACUAGUUGUGGAAGACCAUAACAAAGAUAAAUAAAGAAUUGUUUUAAUUAAAAUCAGAGACUUUUACUUCUCAGAUCUCUGAUACAAAGAAGAAGUGUUCAACAUUUAAAUCUCAGAAAGAUUCUGAUAAAGAAAGGAAGUGAAAUUAGAAUAUGUAAAUGUCAAAAUUGAGCUCUUUGUUGAAAAAGAAAUGAAGCUAACCUUCACACCACGAGAGCUUGUCGUCUUCUUUUCCACAAUAGAGGCAUGACCUGUUCGUCGCCGCGUUUCUCCGCACCGGAGCUCAGAUCUGCUGGCCGUCAUGUCAUCCUCUCCACAACGGAGCUUGGACAUGCUCGCCGUCACGUUGCCCUCUCCACACUGGAGCUCUCAGAUCUGCUCAUUAUCUCUCCCAUCCACAAAAUCUCAGAAAUUUCGAUCCAAUUGGAAAAUUACAACACAAACAAGAAAAACAUAAAAAGUUAGGGAUUUCGAAAACUCUUUAAAGUCAAAAAGAGUUAAAGAAUUCAAAAUAUAAACCUCUGUUGUCGAUCUGCGGUGAAGAAGGUUGACUAUUGAGGUUCCCUUUCUUCUUCGACUUCGAUUUCACCAUGGUUUCUCGAAGCUGGACGAGGUUCGGGGAUAGAUGAUGAAAGGGGAUCGUUGCAAUUAGGUUUUGAGAAACUAUGAAAGUGAUUUCAAUUUUUUGUCUCAAAAAUAUGAGAGAUAAUGGAUUAAUUGUAUUUUGAAUUUUAUUAUAUUUCUUUAAUUGAGAUGUGUGUCCAAUUGGAUAUAUUGUUGUUUUAUUUUAAAAAAAAAGUUAGCUACGAAAGAAAGAAUGUUAAGAAGAAACAAUAUUGGGAGUAUAAGAGACAAUCACCACAGAGAAAGUGUGCCUCCAGCAACAUGUGUUUGAUUGUGUAAAUUGAAAGUGAAAAUGUGUCUUAAAACAUAAAAAUUUCUAUAAUCAACUCCCAUGACAAUAGACCCAUGAGCCAUGUAGUUUUGGAUCAAAGAAAAGGGUCAUUCAAGUUAAAAAAAAAAACGAACUUUUCUAAAAAGAAUCUGCCGGUUGAAACGCCAUGUUGCCGACGAAUAGUAUUUUACCGACACAUGCUGUUAGCUUUUCUUCAUAAUCGUUACUAUUAACGUUUAUAUUACUGAUGUCACAUUCAUGUUUCGCUCUUUUGAAUUUUCCUGUUGCAGUAGUUGUAUUAACCAAUGAAAAUAUCAAACUUUUUCUUAUAAAAGAAUAUGCUAUAUAAAAUAACAAGGACGACUAUCUUGUUGUACGUACUGUAUAACAUAACUAUACAACUUUUCCAACUACUACGUACAUGAUAAAAUAUAUAGCUCAAGAAACGUUAGAUUCUUUCAUCCAAUGAACCGAAAAUAUACAUUUAGUUGUUACCUACACACGUUAUACAUGAAGUAACAAGUGCAUUAUCUAUUCAAAUCUAAAAUUUCAAGAGCUAUUUUGUUGCAGCUGAAUUUCAAGAUAUAACGUUAGAGUUAAUCUAUACAUUGAAUUCAUCAAUACCAACCUUUAUUUUUUUAAACUAGCAGAUUUUCAUAGAAAAAGACUCUUAAAAACUGGAAUAUAACACUUGGGAAAUGGUUUAUAUUUGAUCAAAGAAAAAAAAACACUUGGGAAUAAGGAAAAACAUACAAAUACAAUGGAUCCGUUUCACCUUUUCCGAGUUUUUCGAAGAGACAAGUUGACAAAAAAUAAAAACAAAAUCAAUUUUAAUUUUCUCUAAGAUUUAAAAUAAAGAAAAAGAUCAAAAUAGCACUAAAUCAAGUUUUUGUUCCCAAACUAGCACUCAAGGCCAAAAGUCACAAAAAUAGCACUCAAAGGAUGGGGUUUAGGGUUUAUAAUUUAGGGUUUAGGGUUUAGAGUUUAAGUUUUAGGGUUUAGAGUUGAGAAGUGAGGUUUUGGGGAUAAGAUUUCAAAUUUUGAAAAAUAAAAAAAUUUAAAUUUUUCAAAAGAUAAAAUGCUAUUUUGGUCAUUUUAAUUUUUGAGUGCUAUUUUUGUGAUAUAAACUUAGAAAUGUGUUAUUUUGGAGAUUUGCCAUUUAAAAUACAGUAUUCAAUAUUUAUUUGGUGAAAAAGGUUAAAAAGCAAUAAAUAAAGCAACGGAUGUGAUCGCAUAAGCUCGGUGAAUUAAGAUCCAAUCAACGGCCCCACAUUCAUCACACACACACUCUCUCUCCAAACAACAACAGAAAUAGAAGUAGCCACCGGCGAGAGCGACGGGGGAACAACAGAACGGUGACUUACGACAACUUAAAGCUUAACCCAUUAAUACAACAAAAGGUCUUUCUCUUUCCUUUCUAAUCUCUGUCUGCAUGUUCUUCUCUGAUUAAACUCUAAAAAUCUGGAAUUUGUUUUUUCAUUCACCUAAAGUUUCAGUCUUUAUUAUAUCUUUUUACUCACUGAUAGUGUUUGUUGUUCAGCUCAAAAAUCACUGAAUAAAAUAAAAUAAAAAUGGUGGGGGAGAUGACAAACGGUGGAAGAAUCCGGCAAUCGUUUCCCGGAGCUAGAGAUCUGACGAGCACUGAAGGAUCUGAGUAUGGUCCCGUUGAGUUCACCAGAGAAGACGUUGACGCUCCAAGUACAAGAGCAAGUACAACUAUAAGGUCUCUCUCUCUUUUUUAGAUCUCUCAGUUUCAUGCAAUUUUACUAAAACAAGUCUAUCUAUCAAUUAUCAAAAGGGUUUGUAGUUCAGUCUUAGUUGCUUAAUCUAUAAGUGUUAUGCUUGGUUUUGCAGGAGAGAUGCGAGAAUACUAUGGACUAUGUGAAAAGGCUUAGGCUUUGCAUUCGAUGGUUUCAAGAACUCGAGUUAGACUAUGCGUUUGAGCAAGAGAAGUUGAAGAACGCUAUGGAGUUGAACGAGAAGCAUUGUGCAGACUUGGGUGUGUUGCAGAGCUGGUUCUUAUUAUGGACAUUUGGGAUUUAACAAAAAAAAAAGAAAACUUAACGUGUAUGCAUUUGCUUGCAGAGGUUAGUUUGAAAGAGAAGGAAGUGGAGCUGAACUUGGUUAUCCAUGAGCUGAGGAAGAAUUUUUCUUCUGUUCAGGUGCAACUUGCCAAAGAACAAGCUGAGAAAUUGGUAAGAAAUGUCUAGAUUCUGGUUAAAAGUUCGUCUUUUGUGGUUUUCUAAGUUGGUUUUAUUCUGGUUAAGGCUGCAACUGGUUCGCUUGAAAAAGAGAAAGAAGCAAGACUUGCUGUUGAAAAGUUGCAAGCUGCUCUCACAGAAGAGCUGGGGAAAACGCAAGGAGACCUUCAAACAGCUAACCAAAGGGUGAGGAAUCUCUGAAAGUUUCGAAUUGAGAAAUGGUUUGUUAUAGCUGACACUGAAUGUUUUUCCCUUCUGUGUUUCAGAUUCAAGCUGUGAAUGACAUGUACAAACUCUUGCAAGAGUAUAACUCAAGCUUGCAACUCUACAAUAGCAAGAUCCAAGGUGAUCUUGAUGAAGCCCAUGAAACUAUAAAGCGAGGAGAGAAAGAACGGACUGGCAUUGUAGAAAAUAUUGGCAACUUAAAGGGUCAAUUCAAAGCACUGCAAGAUCAGCUUGCUGCCUCCAAGGUGUCUCAAGAAGAUAUCAUGAAGCAAAAAGAUGAACUGGUGAAUGAAAUUGUAAGUCUCAAGGUGGAGAUUCAGCAGGUCAAGGAUGACCGUGACCGCCAUAUUACAGAAGUUAAAAAUCUGCAAGCUGAAGCAACCAAGCAAAAUGACUUCAAAGGAACCAUAAACGAGCUUGAGGUUUGUUUUCAUCCUUGAAUGCACUUCUGUAUGCUCUAAAAAUAAUCUAAAUGACUAAUGUAAUCUUGUUUCUCCAGAGUAAGUGUUCUUCUCAAAAUAAGGAGCUACAAGAGUUGCAGGAUCAGUUAGCAGCUUCUGAGAGGAAACUGCAGGUCUCAUCACAUUCUUGAGUUCAACACAUUUAAAUGAAUAUUUAUAUGAAAAUGUUUUCAAUUCUUAUUUUAUAUUUGUUCAUUUUGGUUAGGUGGCGGAUUUGUCUACCUUUGAGAAAAUGAACGAGUUUGAAGAGCAAAAGGAAAGCAUUCUCGAGCUGAAAGCUCGCUUAGAAAAAGCUGAACUUAAACUCAUCGAAGGAGAAAAGCUACGGAAGAAGUUGCACAAUACCAUACAGGUUAAAAUGUUUGUACAUUUCCCUUGUGUGUGAAAUGUUGAGUUAACUUGGCUGAUUCUGAAACAUUUUAAAUGUUGCAGGAGCUGAAGGGAAACAUACGCGUAUUCUGUAGGGUUAGACCUCUAUUAUCGGGUGAGAAUUCUAGUGAGGAGGCCAAAACCAUUUCCUACCCUACAUCUCUGGAAGCACUUGGUCGUGGCAUUGACUUGAUGCAAAAUGGUAUGAUAAAAUUUGGAUUCUUGAAAUAACAAAAGAAGAAAGAGACUCAUUUGAUGUUCUGCUAUGGACAGGGCAAAAGCAUUGCUUCACAUUUGAUAAGGUUUUUGUACCGAAUGCAUCACAAGAAGAUAUCUUUGUAGAGAUUUCUCAGCUUGUUCAGAGUGCUCUUGAUGGUUACAAGGUACUUAUACAUUCUCUAUCUGCUCAUUUUCAUACAUUGUCUAACCAGUUAAUCAAGCUACAGAAUAAUAAUAAUAAUUAUAAUGCUAUGUUUCACUGUAUAUUCUUGGACUGAGGCUGAUAUUAAAACAUUUUCAGGUUUGCAUUUUCGCAUAUGGACAAACGGGAUCUGGAAAAACAUAUACAAUGAUGGGCAGGCCAGGGAACCCUGAGGAAAAAGGACUGAUUCCUCGAUGUUUGGAGCAAAUAUUUCAAACGAGGCAGUCUCUUCGAUCACAGGGUUGGAAGUAUGAGUUGCAGGUAACAAAUCUCCUAGGGACUUAGAGAUAGAUAGUGUACAUAUUGAUUCUGUUAUGUGUUUAUAUGAUAGGUGUCUAUGUUGGAAAUAUACAACGAAACAAUUAGAGAUCUCUUGUCAACAAACAAGGAAGCUGUGAGAGCAGACAAUGGCGUUUCUCCUCACUAGAGACUUAGAGAUAGAUAGUGUACAUAUUGAUUCUGUUAUGUGUUUAUAUGAUAGGUGUCUAUGUUGGAAAUAUACAACGAAACAAUUAGAGAUCUCUUGUCAACAAACAAGGAAGCUGUGAGAGCAGACAAUGGCGUUUCUCCUCAGAAGUAUGCAAUCAAACAUGAUGCUAGUGGGAACACACAUGUUGUGGAGCUUACUGUUGUUGAUGUUAGAAGCAGCAGAGAGGUUUCUUUCCUCUUGGAUCAUGCAGCUCGGAACAGGCAAGUAUCUGUUUUGAAGAAUUGUUCAUCUUUGAGAGAAGCUGCUAAUGAUGCAAACUGUUUCUUUACAAUUUUGUACAGGUCUGUAGGGAAAACUGCGAUGAAUGAGCAAUCAUCUAGAAGCCAUUUCGUCUUCACAUUAAGAAUCACUGGUUUUAACGAGGUACUAAUUGAGUUUCUUACUGGAACAAUAUGAUUUAAAAGUAUUGUUUUUGGUUUCACCUAAACCAAAGCUGUUUGUUUUUCUUACAGAGCACAGAACAACAAGUACAAGGUGUCUUGAACUUGAUUGAUCUUGCCGGUAGUGAGCGUUUAUCUAAGAGCGGAUCAACCGGUGAUAGACUUAAAGAAACUCAAGUAAUGUCUCAAGAAAAUAACUAAAACAAUACAUUCUUUAGAGACACCUCAUGAAUAAUGAUUUCUUUUCAAUCUAACGCAGGCAAUCAACAAGAGUUUAUCCUCUCUAGGUGAUGUCAUAUUCGCCUUAGCCAAGAAAGAAGAUCACGUACCCUUCAGAAACUCGAAGCUCACUUAUCUUCUUCAGGUAAAGAAACAAAAUUAUAUGAUCAUUUCACCAUCUUAUCAUAUGUUCGAACAGAAAUGAUAUUUUGUCGAAUUCUGUUAUCAGCCAUGCUUAGGUGGAGACUCGAAGACGCUAAUGUUUGUUAACAUCACACCGGAACCUUCCUCAACUGGUGAGUCUCUGUGCUCCCUUAGAUUCGCAGCAAGAGUGAAUGCAUGUGAGAUUGGAACUGCACACCGUCAAGUUAACAACAGGCCGUUGGAUAAUCGUUUGAGUCUUGGAUGAGAUUUUCUACUCCGAAUCCAGAAAACAAGAGAGAAAAAGUUAUGUUGAUACCUAAACGUGGUCAUUACUUGACUUGAUGUUGGUGCUUAAUCUGUAUAUAACGUGUAUUAACCUUAAGUGUUGUCUGUUUUGUCUAUGUGUGGACAAAAACAUAUUAAUGUUCUAAAAUCUUGAAUAGACAAGCAUUAGAUAAACAAUAUUACAUUAAUCAUACUAUAUUUGUUUUUGUUUUUGUUUUGUUUUUAAUCAAAAAUCAUACUAUAUUUGUUAAGUGAUUUUUUUCUAUUCAUAUGCUAAGUACUCUUUAGUACUGUUUAUUUUUUUAUUUUUUUAUCAACAACAUUACAGACUCAUAUUGACUCUGUAAACUACACCGGUAGAUAUUGAUCCAUGUGAACGACGAAAGACGUUUGUUUCCUGACAUUACGUGCUAGAUUAUCCGCCUAUUCGUUAGUACUGUUUAAAAACAUAGAUAAUAUAACAAAUGAAAAUUGUUUGGUAACAUAUCAGAUUAAAUAUUUUUUUUAUUUACACAUUUAGUUAUUCUAUUUAUAAUAAAAUAAUUAUUUUUUGUAUUUUUUAUUUACAGAUUCUGCCACUGCAUUAAAUAUCAAUUUAAAUACAUAAUACUAAAAUAGAAGUUACAACUUCUUUUGAUGUGAUAUUUUUUAAAAAAUAGACUAUCCCUAGAAAAUCUCUUAAAUGUAUUUUUAUAUAUAUACUACUAUAACCAUAUCUUUUUAAUGUUCUCAGAUAUAUUUUCCUCAUUUUAAUGAUAUUUAGAUCUUUUCUUAUUUGGUACAGUUUAAUCAUUUUAUAUUUAUUUUACUAUUUAAUCAUCUUAAAAAUAUUAAAAAAUAUUUACCUACAAUAUGUCGGUUUCUCUCACAAAUCAUUUCCUUAUAGUCACAUAAAGUAAUCUAUAUUAUUAAUCAUAUUAAAAGAAAAUUACUAUAUUUAACUAAGUAUGAUAAGUUAUAUAAAAUGAUAAGUUAAUAUAUAUUAUAUUUAUAAAACUAAAACCUUUAUUAUACAAAAUUAUGACAUGUUAGUAGAAGGAGUUAAUAUUAGUAAACUAUAUAAUACAUCCAAAAAAAUAAACAUAUCUCAAAAUUUUAUAUACAUAAUAUUAAUAUAUUAUUUAAAAUGAAUAAAUAUAAAACUUUCUAAAAGAUAAUACAUCACUUUGAAGCGCGGAUAAGAAAUUAGCAUAUGCUAACUACAAAACAUUAUUCAAAUAUGUUAUUUCAGACAUAUAUUAAUUUUUUUAGCAAUAAAAUAUAAAUAUAUAUAAUAAAUGUGACAAAUUAAUGUGAUGGUUUGUAACAAUUAGUUAAAUUACAAUUUGUAAAAUAUAAAAUUAUAGUAUUUGAAAUAGUUAUAUAAUUAUUUUAAUAUAUGAUUAACAUUAAAAAUAUAUACCAAUAUUAAUGAUAUAAAAUAAAUAUAUAUGUAUUAAACUAAAAAUAAAUACCCGCGCAACUGCGCGGAUUGAAGUCUAGUUAAUUAAUUACAAUGGUUAUUGUUUUUUCUGUGGUGAAAAUAAAAACACAAACUAAAAUAUGUACUAUAUAUUAUAUAAAACAGUUUUUAAAUAUAGUAUUACCUUAUUUAGUUUAGUCAAAAAUAUAAAAAUUUCUAGCGUUCAAUUUUUGAGAAAAUAAAAUAUCAUAAAAUUAAUAAUAAUUCAUAGAAAACUAAUGCAAAAAAUUAAAAAAAUUAUCAUGUUGUUUCAUUUUAAAAUAAAAUAACAAAAAACAGGUUAAUGUACGAAUAGUACAAUUACAUCAAAUUGUAUCAAGUUACAAUUUUUAAUAUAAUAUUAUGUACAAAUAAAAAAAUUAUCAUCAAAAAUCUAUAUUGUAAAAUAAUAUAUUUUACUCUAUUUGUAAACAUAAAAAAUAUGCAUGAGAUUUGUUUUUAAAACUAGCAGUUUAUGAGUUUACGUUGAACACAAGUUAAAUCAAACAUCCGCGCGGGUGCGCGUAUCAAGUUCUAGUUUAAUUUAAACUGUAUAUAUUUAUAUUACCGCUCAACGUUAUUUUUUUACUAAAGAUGCUUUAAAACAUAGGAAAUCCCUCAUAUAUUAAAAGAGAAGCAUGUCAUUUAAUGCUUUCACACUAAGAAAGCAAUAAAUAAUUAUGAUUGAUUAUAAAUUAAGAAAAUUGGGGUAAAAUGUACCACACACAAAGUCGGAUCUUUAGUUAUGUCAAAUAUUGUUUUUCUUUACAGAGUUUUCAUAUCAUACCAAAAAUACGAAACAUAAUCAGAUUGCAAGAAAAAAUCAGACAUCAGAAAAAUUAAAAAAAAAAAGAAAAAAAUUCGUGAAAUCGAUUGAAAAUUAGAAUUCAUGUGCUGAGUGAAGAGAUCACAUUAUUUUCCAAGAAACUCUAAUACUUUUCACUCGAUUGUAUCGUGUUUUUAUUAUAUUUACCAAGAAUUGUUUAUAAGAAAACACAUGUUAUUGGUUUUAGGAUAUAUCAAUUUUGCAACAUACUCAAUAUUGACAUGAUUCUCAACUAUUUUUAUUGGUAUUUUUAAAUUAUAGUCCAAUAAUUAUGUAUGUUAAAUAAACCGAGAAUAUUUGUUUUACAUUUAUUUUAUUUUGCUUUAUAUUUGUAGAAAAAUAAUAAGUCUGAGUAAAACAUCUAGGUCCAAAGAACCAAACUGAACUAGAUUUGAAAGCAAUACUAAACACAAACUAAAACUGAUUAAGUACUCACAUGGAUCUAAAAGUUUAAUAUCCACAUAAUCAGAUCCGAAACUGAUCCAAAUUAAAAGUUUGGAUACCAAAAAUAUCUAAAUAACAAUUAUAUAUUUAAAUAUUUUUACUAUUUUAAAUUUUAUACCUAUUAGAUUUUCAAAAAUAUGAAAAUAUCUAAAUAUUAUCCAUAUAAUCACAAGUAAAUAUGUAAAAUAGCAUAAAAUGUUCAAAAUACUGAAAAUAUUUAUUUGUUCUCCAUCCAAAUAUUUAAAUUGAACUAGUUUUUAUGUAAAUUUAAAUAUUUAGUCUUACAUUUUUCAAAAGUUUAUGUUUUACUUUAUUUUAAUAUUAAGUAUAUUUGGAUUUUUGUUAAAAUAUACAUAAUUAGAAUUAGUAUCCAAACUUAAAUCCGAACCGCACUCGCAAUGAUUCGAACCAAAUCCAAGCUAAAAUUUGAAAUUUGUAUAUAUCCGAUUUGAUUUAAAUUUCUAAUCCUAAAAUUUCAAAAUCUGAAUAUUUUAACUGAAUCCUAACGGAUAUAUGAAUGUUCAUCCCCAGAAAAAACUAUACAACAAAUUCCUUAGCGCACCAUAUAAUAAAUUAUCUAAUAAAAUAUUUAACAUCCAUAUGCGCGGAUUACUACGUAGUCGUUGUUAGUAUCGUUGGUCUUGAAGGCUUAAUUAAUUAGACAUUUAGUCUAUCACAUGUUCAUUAGACAACUGCUUCAUUUUGGAUAAGAUUAAUUUGUUUUUCUUUGGGUCGUAUCUGUCGUUAAUUAUCACUUUUUAGGAAGUAGCAAGAGUGAAAAAACUUCUCUUUUAUUACCGUCUACGGAGUAGUUCUUAUUACAUUAGCCUCAAACUUUUUAACGUACAUUAUUUAUGGAACACACACCAUGAUUAUGUAGUGUUAACAUACAUCAACAAACACAUUCAUCACCGUGGUAUAUACACUCUCGAGGGUUUCGUUUGGAACCUAGUAGUAGGGCCCAGGCGUGGUCUUCUGGAAGGGACAAAUGCUAACUUGCGGGAUGUUGCAAACUCUAGGUAAGUGCGUAGCGGUCUCGUAGAUACGGCUCACUACUUGCUGCAUUUGCUGUCCCUGCUGUCCCUGCAUUUGUCCCUGUUGUCGAACCUGCUGUUUAACGGCUUUGGAUGCUCCUUUCAAGGUUGGGCAAACGCAAAGUGGCUCUUCCUGGUGGAGCUCGUUGCAGCACUGCUGGAGUAGUGGCGGCCUCUGUUGUGGGCCCUGGGGGUUCUCCAUGUCAUCUUCAAAAUCAAACUCACCAUCGAGGGUCCAGCUUGGACCACUACCGGACUGCAUUGCCUGCUUGUGGAGCCAUUGUUGGCAAGCUUUCAGGUGUUGUGCUUGCUGAAACUCCUUCCUACAUUUUGGAAUCCUAAAUGGGCCGGCUGGGUUUGUGGCAUCUUCAUCGACUUCCACAACCGUCCUGUAGACGGAGGCAUUGGUGAGAAGGAAGAAAAAGGCGAGAGUUGCCGAGACGAGGAAGAGCUUGUUCGCCAUUUGUGUAUGUUUUUAACUUUGUUUGUUAUGAUGAGUUUUGGUUUGAGUAAAGAGUGAAGCUGUUAAGUUAAUUUAUAGGUGAGAAUGGAGAUUUGCAUGGCGAUCACGUGUAAUAAUGCAUGCAUUUGUGUGUGCUGUGAGAGAGAAGCUCUUAGGUGUUUGAAGUGAGUGACAAAUGACGAACAAAAACAGUCGUCCGCAUCUGCAUGCUAUGUGUGAUGUGUAGCUCAUGUCCUGGCGUAACAUCUUAUGAACGAUAUUUUUCAAAAAGAAGCUAACUUCAUAAAAUAAAAAACCUUCAGUAAGUGGGAUGACAGUCUAUAUACUUUGGAGGUAGUGCGGGGGCGGUUGAAAAUAUAUAUUGGGAGCUUAAUGAGAAUUCAGUAAUAGUAUAGAAGAUCUAUUGUAUGGUGAAAAUUAAAUGUGUCUCGUAGACUCGUACAAUAUGUAAUAAAUGCAGUAGAGCCUCUAGUGUAUGGACGAAUGUAUGGGUGCAAAUGCAAAUUAUGCAAUUGUACCCACUAUUUUUUCUAAAAAGAAAUAUUUUUUUUUUGGUAAAAUGUUAAAUUGAAAAGAUAUAUUUUCUAAAACAUUGUUAAAAUCUAACAAAAAUAGGCAAAAUUAACCUAGCAACCAGUAUUUUGUUGGUUUGCCCCCUCUGCUUUCACCAUUUUUUUGUUCUUCUUCUUACAUUUACUUCAAUGAAUGUUCAAAUUUAUUUGAUUUAAAACAUUUACUUCUAUGCUUUCUGCCAUUACGUUCACGCCAAAUAGUGUGUACACCACCAGAGCCGAGCCUGCGGACAGUUUUAUUAAAUUUUAUUUUUUUUGAACAAAGUUCGAUAGUUUUGUUUUGUGAUCGCGUCUUCAACGUUUUAUUAAACUUUUGAAUGAAGCCUUCAUGCUUUAUAGGAGCUCCACUAAAAAAUAAUAUAUAUGUAUAUGUAUUUUUAUUUUUGGUAUAAUAACAUAUAAAUAUUAGCUGUGAAAUAAAUACUGAAUGAAAUUUUGAGUUGACAAAAAUGAUAAAAUAUAUUAUUUAUAAACUUUAUAAAAAUAUUAAUUAUCAGGGCCCCGAAAAUCUCAAAAUCGGCUGGACACCACUGCUUGAAACAUGUAUCACAAAAUGAAGAGAAUGGUUAUGUCCCAACCAUCAUCCACCAAGAGUUGAACAAUAUAUAGUAUUAGGUAUUUAGCAUUAUUAAAGAUAUAGAUGAUCAAUGAUAAAGAAAUUUACUACCUUUGCUAUCAAAGUACUGUUUAUAAGUAAAGGCAACAUCAGUAUAUUUGCAGGAAUUUAGUGGAUACAUGAGAUUGACAGAUGCAUGGUGAUCUAAAAGAGUUUGUUAGUAUUUUUGUUUUUUUAGAAAGGAAGAGUUUCCAAGUACUUUUGCAAAAAAUAUAAAAUAAAAGAGUUUAGAAGUAUUUGACUAUACCAGAUUUCAGUCAUUGAUUGAUCCCAGUGGAUGAUUUUUUAUUAUUGGCCCCGAAUGCUUAUAUUAACACUAGUUGUUUGUCCGCGCGAACGAUGAUAUUUAUUUUAUUGAUGGUGUUAAAUCUUUUAUUAAUAUAGCUUAAAAUAUUAGAUGGUUAACUAAUGUGAUAUCUUUAAAAAAUUUGUUUAUAAGUUUCUUGGUAAAAUGUUUUGGGGUUGAUCAACAUGUUUUUUUCCCUUGUGACCAUCAUGUUUGUUUCGUUUUUUGAUAUACAAUAAUUUUAGAGUAGCUGUUUUUCCAUCCCAUAAUUUCAACCACACAAAUGUGGAUCUGCUUCAUUUUUGUUAUAAAUUUUUUUCUAUUUUAAACUUGUUCAAGUGUAAGGUUAUGUCCACCUCAUUUUUUUUGUCGAUGAAAGGAACAUAUCUGUUCAACUGUGAUGACUUCGGUAGCGUAGGAGGUAUAGUGGAAGUUUUUGUGCACGUUAAUGCCGUGGGUGAAGGUGCUGAGUUCUUUUUGGCUCUGCUGCACACUCUGUUUUAUUGUAUGUGGCUCUGUUCAAAUAUAUGAAAUGAUCCAGUUUGGGGAGGGGGGAAGGUUAUGUCCACCUCCUUCACUCUGGUGUAUUUGAUAAACAGCGACAUAACCACCAAGUUCCCAUAAUGCCAUAACAGCCUCUGUACCCAGUUAAACCUCUAAUCACCUCCAAAGCCAUGGAACUAAUCGAAAUAGGAAGCUUUAACUUAUUUUACAGUAAAGCUUAGAAGAGUCAAACCAUCAAAAUCCAAAAAUAAUUACGAAAUCAGCAGAAGAAAAACUAACAUGCUAAAGUCUUUUGAGUAUCGUUGGCAAAUUUGGGAGGUAAAAUCUACACAAUGCAAGUUUAAGGCCUUUUUGUUUUUCAAUCUUCAUCUGAGAUUCUGAGCCCGACUCUUUGGAACUCGACCCAUCUUGUUUACUAUCUUUGAACCUUUUUUUGGGUCGAAUGAUCCUUUCCUCUUAUCUUCUUCGUCCUCACUAUAUUUGCUUUCAUAAUUCACUUCAUUCUCAUCUUCUUGUGAAGCCUCACCCUCAAAAUCAUUGGUUCUUUUCAAAACCUCGACUUUCAGUGAUGUCUUUCGAUCACAACUGAUCCAAGCAUCUCCUAGGUAGAACUCAUAAGCAAAUCAAAUAAUAAGUAUCUUCUGCACGUUUUAGGCAUUUCUUUAUUACCAAUCUUGAUCGGCUUUUAACCUUCUCUAACUUCAUUGUUCUUUGCCUCGACGCCAUAAUAUUUCCGCAAAACAAUCAUUAUAUCAAGAACCAAUAAAGGUUUAUUGAUCUCCUCAGAUUUGCAGUAGCCACUUACCAUAAAAUUAGAAGAUGUGGCAUCAUGAACAACACCAGAAACUUGAGGAAACCAAAUCUUGUUGACCUGACCUGUCCGGAAAACAAUAAACUGUGAAAGAACAUUUCCUAAAAUUUUAAAGGAAAAGUCUUGCCACCAUUGAAAUACCGCCAACCCAUUAAACUGAUAUAGCAUCUAUAAGAGCACCUGUAACGGGGGUACAUGCAGGGUCCUUAGCGUUUAAUCAUAGGUUAGGAGGAUUAUAAUAAUAGUUGUUUGGUUAAUAGGAGUAAGGAUUGAUACGUUAAUAAGGAUUUUUAGGACUUGAUCCUUAGGGUACGUGGCGUGUUUUGAAUGGAUGGAAGGGUUUACGGUUUGGUUACGCGUAAAACAUUGGUUAUACUCGACCGAAGCAGAAAAAAAAAUAGUCCCGACGAAGAAAGGCGAUUGCUCUCGACGAAGCGAAGGCGAAUCCCGCUACGAAAGACGGCGAUUCCCGCGGCGAAAGACGGCGAUUUGUCUCCGUUGGCUGAACAAGGUAAAUCGCACCCUUCUGAUGUAGAUUAAUCGAUAUAGAUUAGUUUGCAUGUUGAAUCGAUCUCGUUUGAAAUUAGGGUUCGAACAUAAUUUGGGGGUUUGUUGCGUUUGUACUUAACGGUUUGAAAACGAUACUGCUUUCAUCGAUUUCGGGUUCUUCUCGUUUGAAAUUAGGGUUUCAAUUCAGAUUUGGGGCUUUUUGCGUUUGUACUAAUCGGUUUGAAAACGAUUUGCGUUUGUACUAAUCGGUUUGAAAACGAUACUGCUAGCAUCGAUUUGGGGUUCUUCUGGUUUGAAAUUAGGGCUUCAAAAGGAUUUGGGGCUUUUUGAGUUUGUAUUAAUUGGUUCGAAAAAUAUCCUUAGCGUUUCUUUCUUGCACAGUUUUGCUAGCUACAACUCAACUAUCUGUUUGAGUGUAUUGAGUUUAUGUGUUUGUUGUUAAGGAUUACAAGUAGAAGUUCAGUUUUCUGUGAGACAUAAAAAAAAGCUUCCUAAUUUGUUCUCUCGGAUGAGCUGCAAGUUUAUGAUCAUGUGUGUGUGUGUGUUGUUAGGAUUUGUUUAGCUCUGUUCUUAAUUUUUUUUUUCAUUCUCUCUUAUGUUUAGCUCUGUUCUUAAUUUUUUUUUUCUUGCAGGUUAACGAAUAUGGGACAAGAUUAUUCAUACAGCCAGCCUUUCUCAUCAUCAGACUCGAUGGACAUUACCUCCCUUCUUCAAGCAGAAGCUUAGUUGUAUGCGGAUGAAGGUCAGAGUAGCUACAAUAAUCCAGAGCCGGUUCAGUACCCACCUCAACCAGAGGCAGAUGAUGGAAUCCCGAGGCUAUGCUACUGUGGUGGUGAGCCUGUUGUUGCAACAUCCUCCACUCAUAAAGAUCCCGGCAGGAGGUACUUCACAUGCGAGAAUGUGGAUGAUGGAGACUGCCACAUCUGGAAAUGGUGGGAUGUUGCGGUCACAGAGGAGAUGAGCGAGUUGCAGAGACAACUUAGGCUGCUUAAGGAUCAAGGCAAUGCGAGUGAGCAUAAGCUUAUGCUGCUAGAGAAGAGUGUGUUUGAGUUAUCUAACCAGAAAUCAGGAGUUACGCUAAUGAGAGUGAGCAGAAGCUGGUGCUGUCUAUUAGUUUUAAUAGGUUCCGUGUUCUUGUUACUGUGUGGUGAGUAUAUCUCCUUGUGCUUUUCGUAGUUCAUUUUUUAAUAUUCUGCGUGGUGAGUUCGUUGACUAUUUUUUCUCUUUCUUUUCAGGAUUAGCUUCAAACGAGAGUGUCUCAAAGAACCAAUGUCAUUACUAACAAGGUACGCCCACUUGAAUAAAAGCAAUUAGUCAUUUAAUGAAGGUGAAUUGAUUUCUACCGUCGUAACUCCUCGGAUUUGAUCGGUUAUAAAUGUUAGCGUUUAGAAAUAGUGAACUGAAGACUCUAGCUUGCUAGGAUUGUACUAACUAGUCGGAUUUGAUUGGUGAUAAAUGCUAGUUCUUUGCUUCCUAUCUUCCUAACUGCUCAGAUUUUAAUUGCUUUAAUUGAAAAAAAAAAUGUAAAUGGCUUACUUAAGACUCUGUGUUGCUAAUAGAGCGACACAACCAUUCUCUAACCAUGGAUAACACCACUGGUUUUGUUAACCUACUUUAUAGUCAAUCUCCAUUUGAAAUUGAUUCAACACAACCUGCUGCCGAGUCCGGUUCGAAGGAGAGGAGGAAAUGGUCACUGAAAGCGGAUCAAAUCCUCAUUGGGGCUUGGCUUAACACAAGUAAAGAUUAUGUGGUCAGCAAUGAGCAAAAAGCUAGUGCUUUUUGGAAGAGGAUUGUUCAAUACUACAACGCGAGCCCUUAUCUGGCUGGGACUAUACCUAGAGAGCUUGGGCAGUGCAAGCAGAGGUGGGCUAGGAUAAAUGAGCAAGUCUGCAAGUUUGUUGGGAGCUAUGACGCGGCUCUUAGGGCACAGAGAAGUGGUCAAAACGAUGAUGAUGUGAUGAGAGCUGCCCAAGAGUUCUUCUUCAACGAUCACGGAGUCAAGUUCAGCAUGGAACAUGCCUGGAGGGAGCUGAGGCAUGACCAGAAAUGGUGCUCCACCUAUGUGACUAAGGACGGUGGGAGUCAAAAGCGCAAACCAGUCCAGGCGGAGGUUGAUAGACAAGCGGAAGUGGGAGAACCAGAGGAAAGACCAGUCGGGGUCAAGGCAGCUAAAGGUGUUACCAAGAAGAAGAAGAGUGCUAGAGAAGAAGAAUUGUCACAGUUACAGGGCGUGUUGGAAGUUAAAGAAAAACUCGCUAGGCAUAAGUUGCUUGAUCGUUUACUCGGGAAAAAAGAGCCUCUAUCUGAGAUGGAGACAUCUCUUAAGCUCAAACUAAUGUCUGAGAUGCUAUAAACUGAUGUUAACCGUAUGUUAAGUUGUGACUGUUGUUUUGUGUACUUGUUUACUAUUAAACUUCGCUCACUCUUGUCUUUUGUGUUGUUGCAGGGUCAUGUGAACGAAGUCACGGGUGCAUUUGGUGUUGUGAAAGUCUUUUGUUGUUUAGCUCAAGUGAAUCAAGUCACGAGAUUCUAUCUAUGUACUAUAAGUAGUUGUCAUUUGCACGUCUUUAGCUAUGUAUCUCUUUCGCUUUGCUUCCUCUUCAUCAGAACUUGUAUCUUCUUGUUUCAGUACAACAAAUUGCUUCUCUUGUAAUAUUUUCGUUUUAGUACAACAAGUUGCUUCUCUUGCUUGGAUUUCUAUCCAACGAUCUCAAGUUCUGAUUCUAUUUAACUACAACUACAUUAUCUAUAGGUAACACUGGUUCUCCUCUUUUAUAUACCGAGAUUGUGUAGUAUCUAAAUCAUUUGUAGUAUAUUCUUCAGUAACUUGUGUAGUAUAUACUUACUAAACUAGAGAAUUAUAUAAUUCAUUUGAGAAACUUUGAAGUUAAUCUGAUCACUAAACUUGUCAAGUAUAUUUGAGAAAUUUUAGUUCCAAAGUUAAUCUGAUCUCAAGUUUUGUUAAAUCAUUUGUAGUAUAUUUUUUUUGUAACAAAACUUUGGAACUAAAAUAUAGAACUAAAAACGUAUUUUUUUUUUGGAACAAAACUUUGGAAUUAAAAUAUACAACUAAAAACCUAUUUUUAAAGGAAGGAUCCCUAAAAAAUGUCAUCCUCUUCAUCCGAUGAAGUCGAAGAAAGACUGGAUGAAUUAUUCGAUGAAAUCGUCGAAGAUACAUACAACGACAUUAUGGAGGGCCAAACCUAUAAGCAAAGGAAACGUGCUUACAUAGAACGAAACCGUGAAGCCGGACACAACCGUUUAUGGAAUGACUAUUUCAGCGAAGAAGCGACAUUCUCGACACAUUUAUUCAGACGUCGUUUCCGCAUGAGUAAGGAAUUAUUCAUGCGUAUUGUCCAUGCCCUCUCAGAGAACGUUCCUUUCUUUCGACAAAGAAGAGAAGCAACCGGGAGGUUGGGCCUGUCUCCACUACAAAAAUGUAUGGCAGCUGUUCGUCUGCUUGCUUAUGGUUCUGGGGCUGACACGGUAGACGAAUAUCUUCGACUUGGAGAAAGCACGGCACUUUCGUGUCUACACCAUUUCACUGAAGGAAUAAUACUGUUAUUUGGAGAUGAGUAUCUACGAAGACCCACACCAGAGGAUCUUCAACGACUCCUCGAUAUUGGAGAGAAGCGCGGGUUUCCCGGGAUGGUAGGAAGCAUUGACUGUAUGCAUUAGGAGUGGAAGAAUUGCCCAACCGCUUGGAAAGGGCAGUACGCACGUGGAUCAGGAAACCCGACAAUUGUCUUAGAGGCUGUGGCUUCACAAAAUCUUUGGAUAUGGCACACCUUUUUUGGUCCUCCAGGUAUCUUAAACGAUAUUAAUGUCCUCGAUCGGUCUCCUAUUUUUGAUGACAUUUUUCAAGGCCGAGCUCCCAGGUUAGAGUAUGUGGUCAACGGACACAUGUAUAAGUUGACUUACUACCUCACAGACGGUAUAUAUCCCAAAUAGUCAACAUUUAUCCAAUCUAUCUCGCACCCUCAAGGUCCUAAAGCAAAGUUAUUUGCUAGAAUUCAAGAAACAACCCGAAAAGAUGUGAAACGGGCGUUUGGAGUAUUACAAGUUCGAUUUGCGAUUGUCAAAAUCCGGCUCUUUCAAUGGACAAAGAAAAGAUAGGGAAGAUUAUGAGAGCAUGUAUCAUACUACACAAUAUGAUUGUCGAAAAUAAACGAGAUGGAUACAUUCAAUUCGAUAUAUCUGAAUUUCAAGAGGGAGACGUCACUAGAAGUUCACGGUGGAUACCGACAGGCCUACAACUAUUGCUAAUAUGCUCGGCAUUCGGGAUGAUGGAUAAGCGUUUACAUCAACGUUUGAAAAAUGAUUUAAUUGAAAAUAUUUAGAACCAAUUUGUUGAUUGUUGGUUAAUAAAUAUUGUAUCUUUAUCUUUAAUAAUGCAAUAAAUAAAAAUUUUAAUUUCACUUUUAUAAAAAAGUUUAUUAUUUUUAUAUUCCUAAGAACUCCAAAUUGGAGAACAUCAUUGGACUAACAAUUCUGAUUAUGAUCCUUAACUAUUCAAAAAAAAGAAAAUAGUUAAUUAAUCCUAAGGACUCCAUUUGCUGGUACACUAUUGCGGGUGCUCUAAACAAUCCAUCAUCGGCAUUUCCUAGAAAUCAGUUCUGAUCUGAAUCUAUAAGAAAUUACAUUGUAAUAAAGGCUAACUUCCUCUCCAAGUGAUGUUUUACCUUUCAUACGGUUGUGUUGCAGUGGAUAUUAAGUUGGGAAGAAAGUAAGUGUGAGGCCAAAGUGGUUUGUUCCGGCUUGCAAUGUUUGAACUUGUUCACCCUCUUCAAGUCAAUCCUUCCUAAGAUUUGCUGUUAAUUUUGACCCGGCUGUUGCUCCGCGGCGAUAUGGAAACAUCCCUUAUAUAUUAAUUGAGGAACAUUUGAAAAGAUGUAACCUCAAUUUUGUAUUAAUUAAAAGAGGCUCCAAUGCAUAGGUGGCACUCAAUUAGGUAGUCAAUUACAUUCAAUUGAAAAAUAAGUAGGUCCACAUUCGAUUUUUAUAUGUUGUUAGAUACAUAAAUUGGUCAAACUAUAUGAUAUAAUGAUAUGAUAUGAUAUUUUCUUUCCUUAAAUAAAACCUACGGAAUUACCAUAAAUGACUAAUAUAUAUAUGACAAUUAAUGAGUUUAAUAAUAAAGAUUUGAUAACAAUGUAUAUCUCCUCCAUCAUUUUUUGUUUAAUUUUAUAUUAUUAAAAUAAAUUAAACAAUCAAAUUAGCUAUAAAAAUAAAAUUUAGAUUUUUUCGUAUAUGUUAUAUUUUGAAUUUUUAAAAACGACAAUAAAUGACUAAAACUAUUAAAAUUAUUAUGUUAAAAAUUAAUGAUCAAUUGUUUUCUAUUGUGACUGGCACGACAACACUCCAGAUCGAGGUGUGAGAACAGAUGCAUUUGGUGUUACAUCAGUAAAUUCAAGACGGAAGCUGCAAUAUUAUGAUCCUUUCAUUCUUGCUUCUCAGGCCGAUCAGGUUUGUUAUAUCAAGUACCCCCGGGUAAGGAACAGAGAUGAUCCAUGGGUUACUGUUACAAGACUCAACCCGAGAGGCCGAGUUCAGGGAAGUUCUGAGCUGGAAGACCCACUACAACCAAGCACAUCCGGCAACUUAAGUGCAGCAGAAGAUUUAGCUGGAGUUGGCCUUGUAGUCGAUUUAACCGACUUUGGAGAGGAAGCCGUCGUUCACGUAGAGGAUGAACCAGUGAUUGGAGAGUUUCACCAAGAUCCAGAUUCAGAUUCAUCUGGUGAUGAUGACUCGGAAACAGACUACCAUUGAAUAUAGAUAUGUGUUUGUUAAACCAUUAUAAAAUAUAAAUUGAUAGAUAUAUUAUAAUUUAUUUUUAAUUUAUUUGUGGCUUUAAACAAAUUUGAAAUGAUUUAAAAAAACAGGUACUAAAAAACAUGUGCAUAUUUGCUUGGAUCAAAAUUUGGCAGCCUUUAUAAUAAAUAUUUUAAGGCAUUUGACAUACGGAAACUCUUUUCAUCUGCUAUCUCUAAUUCAAUAUUUUUUUUAAAUACUGACUGCAUUACUUUCAUCGCAUGAACAACAGCCAGUGUGUUAUCCAACACUUUUAAGCUUUUACGAAAACAUCAUUUUGGAAGCUACAAAUGCUAAUAUUUUGAGACUCUUGACUCUGUUUUAUUUUAAAUUUUGUCAACAGACGACUCUGUCUUAUCUUAGAGUUUUACAUUUCCCGUUCUGAUGAAAACCAUCAUAUUAAAACUUACACAUAAGUCAAAUUAGUGGUUUCAAAUACCGAGUCCGUAAUAUGUAUUUACUGUGUUCGAACGGUUUAAUAUAUCCAUGGAAUAUAUCGUACUAUCUUAUUCACACAACAUUUAUAUUUCGAAUAAGUCAACACAACUGGUGUGUGACAUAACCGCAUAAAAUAAAAUACAUACACCAUAAAUUAUUCUGUCAUAAUUAAUAACUAGAGAUUGACCCGCACGCCCGUGCGGGUGUUAAUUUUUACUUUCUUAUAAAUCGAUAUUUUAUUUUUAUGAUUAGUAUUAUAUAUUUUAUAUGUGUCAUAAUAUAAUUAAUUGCAUAAGUACUUUUAAAUUUCUAUACAUCAUAAUCGAACCUGAAUCAAAUAGAGUAAUAUGAUUACUUUUGGUUAUUUGGUUAUUUUUAGUUUAAUUUGAAUUCAGCAUACCCGAAUUGAAUCGGUUAAUAUUCUUACUUUUCAUAUAAAUAUCCGUACCGGCGUCAAAUACAUUAGUUUUUAGAUAUUUGUAGGUUUGUAUAUAUCAAGACUGAAUUCAUCUGGACCCGAUUCAAAAUACACAUGAAAAUUUUUUAAUACUGAAAUGAAGUCUAGUUUCAAAACUCAAAAAGCAUGAUAACCCAAAGAAAUAACUCGUAACUGAAUAGUUAUCCGAAUGUCCAUGUCUAACCGAUACAUAAGUAAAUUAAAAAAAACAUUUGUUAACCAUUUUGAAUUCUUAUCACAAAUAGAGUGGUUUCAUUCAAAUAUGUCGAAUUAUUAUAGUUAAUAUGUAAAUAAUCCUGGAAAAAUAUUAUAGUAAAUAUAAUUAAUGAGAUAGUUAAAAGUGAGAAAAUGAAUAUAAAAGAUAAAAUAAAAAAAUUGAAAACAAAUAAGUUUUGUUUUUCUUGUCACUAUUAUAUAUCAUAUAUAUGUCAUCAUAUAAUUAAUCAUAUUUUAUAUGUACCAUAAUAUAAGUAAUCAUAUAACUAAUAGUAUUUUAUAUGUACCAUCAUAUAAAUAAUCACAUAUAUUAUAUUUAUAAACCUAAUAUGAAAUAUAAAAACCAUAAUUUAAGUUGGUGUUUUAAUUAAGUUUUGUAUUGUAUUUUUCUUAUAUAUAGUAAAAAUAUUUUUUUAAAUGGUUAUUGGAAAAUAUUUUAGUAAAUUGUUUUUUAAAUAUAUAUAUAUAUAUAUAUUUUUGAAUCAAUUUUUUAUAUAAAUUAGUUUUAAAUUAUUAUUUUGAUUUGAAUUUUGUAUAGUAAUAAUUAAAAGUGAGAAAAAUGAAUGUAAAAGAUAAAAUAAAAAUUGAAAACAAAUAAUUUUUUUUUUGUACUUCUGUAAUAAAUUAUAUUAACUUAUUUAGUAAAUAUAAUAGAUGAAGGGUUAGAAUUGAUUAACAAUAGAAUAAAAAUCUUUUAAAAAAUCAAUUAAGAUAAGUAAGUAUUAUUUUGUACUGCUAUCCAUGUUUCCAAACAAUUCUCAUUUAUACUACUAUCCAAGUUUCCAAACAACUCUCAAAUGUACUUCAGUUUUAAUAAUAUAGAUGAAGCCAAACUAUUGUUUCAUUCUCCAAAAUAUAAUAAAAAUAAUAACUUAAUCCCGCGCAAGGCGCGGGUCUUAUCCUAGUUAUAAGUUAUAACAUCAGAUCUUUAAAAACUGGUCAAAGAAGAAAGUUUUGAAAAAACCUAAUAAGCGAAUCAUUCCAAGAAUUGAUAUUUGUUUCUUUUUGAAGAACCUGCAUCAAAUUUCAUAAAAUAGUCAGCGUAAGAUGAAAGCAAAACCUGAAAACGAAUCACCGAUCUACAGAGACUUUAGGUACUGCCGCUUCCAAUCAAAAUAAGUGGUAUUAGGGGUUGAGACUGGGCCGACAAAAUCACUAUGUGGAGCCUUCUUAGAUCUGAAGCAAAGCAAAUGGUUACUGUAUAUCAAACCAAUAAAAGAAAGUUGAAGAUGAGAGAUGAGGAACUAAAGAGUUACUGGUGUCUUGAUGCAGCUACGAAGACCUGAUUUAUUAAUAUAUAUAGAUUUUGGCCUAUACUGUUCAGUAGACUACUAUCUCAUUGUGAAUAGAUUGAUUCGUUUGGAACAAAAAAAAAAUUCAAUUCUUUUGAUCUUUUUGGCGUAUCCUUCAGUAUCACUUUAUUAUCAAGUAGCAAGAGUAACAACAACAAAAAAACUUCUCUUUUAUUACGGUCUUCAGAGUACUUCUUAUUACAUUGGCCUCGAUCGAUUUUAAAGUACAUUAUUUAUGGAACACACACCAUCACUGCGUAGUGUUAACAUACAUCAACAACCACACUCUUCGCCGUGGUAUAUACACUCCCGAGGGUUUCGUUUGGAAUCUAGUAAGAGGGCCCAGGCAUGGUCUUCUGGAAAGGACAAAUGCUAACUUGCGGGAUGUUGCAAACUUUAGGUAAGUGCGUAGCAGUCUGGUAGAUACGGCUAAUUACUUGCUGCAGCUGCUGUCCCUGCUGUCCCUGUUGUCCUCCUUGUUGUCGAACCUGUUGUUUAACGGCUUUGGAUGCUCCUUUCAAGGUUGGGCAAACGCAGAGUGGCUCUUCCUGGUGAAGCUCGUUGCAGCACUGCUGGAGCAGCGGAGGCCUCUGCUGUGGGCCCUGGGGGUUCUCCAUGUCGUCAUCAAAAUCGAACUCACCGUCAAGGGUCCAGCUAGGACCACUACCGGACUGCAUUGCCUGCUUGUGGAGCCAUUGUUGGCAAGCUCUUAGGUGUUGUGCUUGCUGAAACUCCUUCCUACAUUUUGGAAUCCUAAAUGGGCCGGCUGGGUUUGUGGCAUCUUCAUCGACUUCCACAACCGUCCUGUAGACGGAGGCAUUGGUGAGAAGGAAGAAAAAGGCGAGAGUUGCCGAGACGAGGAAGAGCUUGUUCGCCAUUUGUGUAUGUUUUUAACUUUGUUUGUUAUGAUGAGUUUUGGUUUGAGUAAAGAGUGAAGCUGUUAAGUUAAUUUAUAGGUGAGAAUGGAGAUUUGCAUGGCGAUCACGUGUAAUAAUGCAUGCAUUUGUGUGUGUGCGCUGUGAGAGAUAAGCUCUUAUGUGUUCGAAGUGAGUGACAAGUCACUAACAAAAACAGUCAUCCGCAUCUGCAUGCUAUGUGUGAAGUGUAGCUCAUGUCCUGGCGUGACAUCUUAUGAACAAUAUUCUUAAAACAGAAUGUACAAACUUAACUUCAAAAAAUUUAAAAAAACCUUCAGUAUGUGGGGUAAGAGUCUAUAUAUACUUUGGAGGUGGUGCGGGGGCGGUUGAAAAUAUAUAUUGGGAGCUUAAUCAGAAUUCAGAAAUAGUAAAGAAGAUCUAUGUCAUGGUGGAAACUAAAUGUGUCUCGUAUAAUAUCUAACUAAGUAGUAACCCGCGUUUUGCGCGGGAUUAGAUAUCUAAUAAUAUGUUGAUUGUAUAUAUUAUGAUUAUGUACAACAUAUAAGGUGUAGCUCAAUCUCUAUAAUAUUAUUUGAGAAGUCACUUUCCUAUGUGUCGCUUCCACAUUAAUUAUCAGGAUGGUUGAUUAUACUGAUACCCUUAAUGAAUUUAAAAUAUUAAAUACUAUUAUUUAUUUAUUUUAUUUAGCUUGCUUUUAAAAAAUUUCCAAAAACAUAUACACAUAAUAAAAAGGAAUUUUUAAUAAAGUUAAAAAACGAAUUGAAAAACGAAAGAUCUCUAUAAUAUAACUAGAGUCGGCCCGCCCGAGUAUACUUUUCUUAUGAUUUAAGUUACUAUUUUUAUAUGAUUUUGUGCUUUGUGUUUUGGGUUUGCAUUUGCAAGAAAUGUGUAUAUAAUGAUUUAUGUCUUUAAAAAAGUUUUAGAUGAGAAAAGAUUAUACGUGGUAAGAUAUAUUUUACUUGUUUACAAUAAUUGUUUCUAUAUUAAAGAGUUAUGGCAUUAAUAUAUUGUGAGGGCUUCAAAUGGACGAUUUCAUAUUCGAUGUCAAAAUGGUUUAUUUUUUUCUAAUAUUAAUUCUUGUAUAGAUUAAGUAAAUAUUUUCUUAUUUAAUCUCAUACUCAUCGAUCUAAAUUGAACGGUUAUGGGAUAUUUUAAAUUUUUUGUGUUACAAUUGAAAUAAAAAGCAAAGAAAAACACAUUGGUUAAAUAUUUAAUUGGUUUAAAGAGAAUCAUGAACAGCGAUCCUUCGGAAAAAUAUUAAUUGUAUGUUUUCUAUCUCCUUUUAGAAUUUUUUUUGUCUUUUUAACUUUCUAUAUUGUUACCUCUGUAUACUUUAUAACAUUUAAUUUCUGCAAUUACUUCUUUAAAUACUUAACAUGCAGAUUUUAAUACUUUACUAUGACAUUUCCAUUUCUUUUUUUUUUUACUACAGUUAAUAGUUCUACAAAUAUAAUCACAGCUACAUCAUUCACAAUUUACAUAUUGUAAAAUAUGUAUAUAACUCUGUCAAAACAAUUUUCGUAUACUUAAAUAACUUCAUCCACUGCCACUUUCAAGCUCUCAGAGUUACAAAUCUGAAUUGAUCAUGGGUCUUAAGAUGGAGAGCAAAGCAAACCUGCAAAUAUCGCAGAAAGUUGUUAUGCCGCAGAGAACCACAUAAACCUGUAUACCCUAGUAAUAUAUUUAUAUAUAUGUUGAUAUAUAUAUAUAUAUAUAUAUAUAUAUGAUUUCAUAAAAAAAAGUUCACAAAAUAGUAAUAUUACAUUUAAAAAAUAUUUUUAAUUAACAUAAAAUAUACUUUUGAAAUAAGAAAAUACUUUAUUUAUAUCUAUAUUUUCUUAGAUGAAAAAUAUAAAUUUGUAUAUAAUGUGAUUUCAUUAAAAAUAUUUACACAGAUAAUCUUGAUAUUAGAAACAUAAAUAAUAUUUCUUUUAAAACAUAAUUUUAAACAAUACAAAAAAAAGUUCAAAGUAAUAGAAUUUUUUUUAUAUAUCCAUCUAUUUUCUUAGAUGACUAGGGGACUAGGUAAUAAUCCGCGCGAGCCUUGCGAGGAAUAUGAUUAUUAGUUUCGUUAUUUUUAAUAAAAAGACAUUAAAUCAGUUUAAUCUGGAUAUUAGUUCGGUAUUAAGUUUUUUUUCGUUUUUAAUCUUCUAAAAUAUAACUAUUAUUUUAAAUUAAUAUUCAUUUUAGUAUAUUCGGUUAAAAUAUUUGAAUUUUGGUUUUUUUUCCGGUAAAAACCAAAAUUAAUAUUAUUUAUUUAUUUUCAUGUUAUAAAUUUUAGAUAGUCGUCAUGUCGAACCAAUAGUUUCUAAACAGAUAAUAGUUUAAGAAAAAGAAAAGAAAAUUAUUAAGACAAAUCAUUUCACUACAAUUUGGUCGGUAGUGAAAGAAGCAUUAAGAAAUAAUAUUUCAACUUUUAAAAAAAUUAGAUACUUCAUUUGUGGUGAAUACUUAGUUACAAGGUAUUCACAUCAAGGUGCACAUAUAUGUGUAUGUAAAAAGUAUAUAAAAAUAGUUGACAAAUAUAUAAAUAUAUUGUUAAUUAAUAUUAAAUGAUAUUUUUUUUUCAUAAUAAUUAUGGGUGGGCGUUCGGAUACCCAUUCGGGCUCAGUUUGGAUCUAUUCGCGUUUCGGGUUUUCGGUUUAAAGAUUUCAGCCCCAUUCGGGUAUUUCUAAAUUUCGGUUCGGAUCCUUGCGGGUUCGGUUCGGAUUCGGAUAACCCAUUUAAAUUAUUUUUAAAAUUUUAAUAUUCAUUUUAUGCUUAAAAUUUCUCAAAAUCUAUAAAACAAAAUAAUAUAUUACAUAGAAUUUGUAUAAUAUAUGUCAAAAUAUCUAAAAUUUACAUAUAAAUUGGUUUGAUUUGAAUAUUUUGAUACAAAAUCAAUUGAUAUUUUAAGUAUUUUGGUGCUUUGAAUAUAUUUUAGCUAUUUUAGACAUUUACUUUUGACUAUUUAUGUAUAUUUUCAAGUUUUUUAGACAACUUAAAAAUAUCUUAUAUAUUUUAGAUGUGUUUAAUAUAUAUAUUAAAUCUAAAAAUAAGUAAUAUAUUUAGGUAUAUAAAUCUAUUUCGGUUAUGUUUGGGUACCCGAGAUAUUUCGGUUCGGGUCGGGUUCGGUUUCGAUUCUUUAGAUACCAAAAUAUUGAACCUGUUCGGAUAUUUAAUCAAUUUUGGUUCGGGUUCGGUACUACUUUUUCAGAUCGGGUUCGGUUCAGUUCUUCGGAUCCGGGUUUUUUGCCCAGCCCUAAUAAUAAUACAUGAAAGAUAAAAUUAAAAUUAAUUUAAAAUAAAAAAGGCUUUGACAUUAUUCAUUUUUUAUAUAUAAAGAAAAUAAAUUUGUAUCCGUAAACAGGGGUGGAUACAGAUCAAAUAUCUGGGUAUUUGGAAGCAUUCGUGUCGAUUCGAUCUUUAGCCACCUAGAUAUUUAGUGACUCGGAUAACCGAAAUGUUUUAGAAUUUUUAAAAAUAUAAUAAAUUUAAUUCAUAAAAAAUAUUGUAAAACUGAUAUAAAGUAUAAUAUAUAUAACGUAUAUAUAUAAUUUUUUACAUAUAUGUAUAUAUAGAUAUGCAUAUAACAUAUCGAACUAGAUAUAUGUUCCUAAAAAUAUUGGUAUUUGUGAUUUGCUUCUUUUUUGGAUAUUGUAUUUUAGUAUUUGAUUUGUUUCGUAGUGUUACAGAUAUCCAGAUUUUUUGGUUCAAAUCAAAACAUAUAACGAAUCAAAUCAAAAUUUAUGAAUAUUUUGCUCAAUUUUAUCCGUAAACAAUAAAAAUAAUAUAUAUAUAGUUUAGCUUUUGAUUCGUUAUCUAUUUUUAUUCAAACAAAAAAAUCCAGAGUUUUAUUGAAACUAUGUAUGUGAGUUUUAUAUUAAAAAAAUCGCAAAAUACAUAGUGUGAAUACAUUUAUGAAUAUAAUGUGAACGCGUUAACAUACUUAUUAUCAAAUCAUUGUAAGACUGUCACGUGUCUAGUGUGGAUACAUUUAUUGCAAUGCUUUUUUUUUAAUAUAUAAGGGAUAAAUGCACUAGUGCCUCUUGUGUAACUGUAACCAGGGACGAAUGUGAUGCAGCUCAAUCUCUGAUCGCACACAAUCAACACGAGACUGCCAAGGUUCACGACUCUCUUCCAUAUAGGAAUUUCCUUUUAUAUUAAAGUCGGUUUUAACUUUCCUUUUUAGGUGUUUUCGUUUUCCUUUUAGAAAGAGGAGUUAACUAAUCCUCCUAUAGGUUUAUGUUUUUCGUUUCUAGUAUUUAAAGGGUCCUAAUCAAGCUUGUAAGGUCACGAUUGGUUAAUAUUGAAUACAUCUUUAGAGUUUUUAAAAAGCUUUAACAAGCGCUGCGAAGAGUAUUCGCGUCCUAUUAUCCUUGUGUCCGAGUUACCUUCAAGAACAUGUUACCAAUCUAGUGAUCAAACCCUUGAUCCCUAGGUUUCCUAGCUUCCGCUCUCCAUCAGAAUAUAUAGGUGCACUUGUAGUCUUGUACCCACUAUUUUUUCUAAAAAGAAAUAUUUUCUAAAAAAAUGUUAAAAUCUAACAAAAAUGGGCAAAACUAACCUAGCAACCAGUAUUUUGUUGGUUUGCCUCCUCUGCUUUCACCAUUUUAUUUGUUCUUCUCUUUACAUUUACUUCAAUCAAUGUUAAAUUUAUUUGAUUUAAAAGAAUUUAUAAAAUGGAUGCAACACUAACUAGGCCUAGUAAAAUAAUCAUGUUGAAUUUUCGAAGGGCAUGCUGAUGUUGUUCUCUAUGCUUUCCUCCAUUACGUUUACGCCAAAUAGUGUACACCACUAGAGUCGGGCAUGUAGACAGUAUUAUAAAAAAAAUUGAAUGGAACACCCACUUUACAAGAGCCCUACUACAAAAAUUGUAUAUAUGUAUUUAUAUUUUUGAUAUAAUAACAUAGAUAUAUUAACUGUAAAAUAUUGAUAAAAAAUUUAGUUGAUAAAAAUAUAUUAAAUGAUCUAUACUAUUAUUUGCGAAGUAAUUUUUAGCAACGAAACUCUCACGUUGAAAGUUAGAGUUGUUAAUAUCUAUAUUACUCUUAAUGAAUUUUAUGUAUAUAUAUUAAUUAUAUAAUCAAAAACGAAUUUUGAUUAAUAAUGUCUUAUAUAUUAAAAGAGAAGUCACAACCUUGAUUCAUGUGUGAUUUUUUUAAAAAUGGACUAUCACUAGAAAGAAGUUAUGUUUCAUUUAUUUCUUAGUAACAUUUUGCUAUAAUUAAUUAAUCACAUAAUAAUAAUCGACUAUUAUAACAACUUUUUCCUAUAAAGCCGGCUCCGUUUAUGAAAACAUUUUAACCGAUAAAUCACCUAAUAUAUGUCGAUUUGGAGCUGUGCUUUACGCUCUUGUAUGCCCUAAACCUCCACCCACUGCGACUCCUUAGCAAGUUAAACUCUUUAAAGAAAUAACCUGUCCUUCAGUACUGCGUAAGAGAUCUUCUAUCAAAAGAAAAAUUGUUAGCGAAGCUCAGAAAACGUUUUGUAUCUCUCAUGCUAAUCAGUAUGUUGAAGCUGGAACUUACUUGCGUGUGCACGUUUAACCAAAACGUUCCCCAAGGUACACUGUUAGAAAACUGUUUGAAAAUUGGAAAGCUUUGGUGAUAAUAUUCACUGCACACAUGAUGGAUUGUAUCAGGUAUUAUGAAAUUGACUGGAAGUCGCGGAUUAUUGCUGUGACUGACUCUUCUUAUGUCGUUUUGGAUAAACUUGCCGGGACUACGGUACUUUUAUUCAUCCAUUGCACUAUCUCUUCUCAAUGUUCUUGACCACUGUAGUUUCACUAGAGAUCUUUAAAGAACUUUCUCUUGUGAAUAUUGUUAGUCUCAGUUUUAUACAUUUUGGGAUUGUACCAGAAUGUAUUUUUGUGUUCUAUUUCUUGGUAAUGAGGAUCGAAAAACAAUUCAUUCGAUCUUAAAACUUUAGAUACUAAAAAGCCAGGGUUCUCAGUGAUUCAGUGUGCUGACCCACAUGACCACAAUAAUUCAGUUUCUCAGGUUGGGGAAACCACAGAUAAUAUCGAAGAGAGCUGUGCGACAUUUUCCUUAUGUGCAUUAGAUUCCGCAGAACCACUGAAACAACACAUCAGAUUGAUAACUGCACAAAAGGCUGUACUUUCCCUUUUAAAACUUUUCUGCUUCAUACUUUUGCAGAUUUUUUUACUAAAAUUUGUAGAUUUAACUUCUUGAAAUGACCAGGUCGCAUUGCUUUUUUACUUUCUCUGUAGUAUAAUCUUUGCUAGGACAAAAGAGUAUUGAUCGGUCUUCCUCACAGAAAUACGAGUGAGUUUGCUUUGCUUCUAUUUCGUUUGACUGGAAAAUCAAGAAGACAUGGUGAAAUAUUUCAUUAUUUUCUAUAUGUUUUUACUUCUUUUCAAGAAUAAGGAGGUGAGGAAACUUCGUCGUGCUGUUGAGUCUUGAUACGGCCGUUGUAGUUCGAACUCUAACGGUCUAACCUAUGAUAAGUGGAAUAAAUCCUUGAUUUGUUUAUAGUUAUGAGUUUGGUUUUGCUGUGUACUUGGUCAUUUCAUAGCUCAGACCCAACAUAUAUACCCUCUCAUCCGACCACCAAAUAAUAUCCCAUCCAACCCAACACCUACAAUACAAUAUUAAGCUUCUUGAAUUAAGUCCUACUUAUUGAGUAACUAGCCUCUCUAUUUUGACUUGGGGUGCAUUGAACAACUCUGAUUAGUUAUUUCUUCAAAAUGAUUCUCAAUAUUUGUCUAUUGUGUAAUAUUUUAACUCGGUGUUUCUUAUAUUUUUAAAUUAAAAUAAAUUUAAAAAUAAAAUUUAUUAAUAUUGUAGAUUUUAUUAUUUUACCAAGUUUUAAUAGAAAUUUUAUUUAAUUAAGCAUUAUUAUUAAAAUUAAAAAUAAUUUUGCUUAUUUUAAAAUAUAUUUAAGAAUAUAUAUAGUUCUAUAUUAAAAAUAAUAAUCUUCGCUAAAAUUUUAUCUAUUUAUUUUGGUUAAAUAUAUUAAAUCAACCUUUUUUUUUGAAUUAAAUCAACCUUUAUAAAACUAAUAAAAUGAUAUACAAUUGUAUAAUUAUCAAAAAUAAAACUAAACAAUAUUUAUAAAGAAAACUUAGAUAUUAUAAAAGAAACUAAUGAUAUUACGAUUAAAUUUUGCUUAAAAUAAUAUAGAACGUUUUAAAAAAAUUAGUAAUAAAAAUUGUAUAAUUAUAAAAAUAGAAUAAAUCAUCUUUAGAAAUUUAGAAAAUCAUAUCUGAAUAUAUUUAUUUUAACAAUGAUGUAUGAAUUAUUACCAUAUUUUGAUAUACGAGUUAUUAUUAUAUUCUAAAAAUUUCAAUAUUUUAAUACAUUAGUAAUACGUUAAAUAUUUUAAUAUUAUAAUAUAUAUCACGAAUGUUGCAAAAAAAAUGUUUACGUAAUGGAAAUAAAUACCCGCGCUGUUGCGCGGGUCAAGAUCUAGUUAACUUGUUAAAACAAUAAGAUAAUUCUUAUAUAUUAUGUUGUUAUCUUAAAACAUAUGUUUCAAUUAUAAAUUUUAAAAAUAAAAUAUAAAACAAAGUUAGAGUGGUUAAUAUCUAUAUUACCCUUAAUGAAUUUUAUGUAUAUAUAUUAAUUAUAUAAUCAAAAACGAAUUUUGAUUAAUAAUAUUAACUUUUUAAAACAAUAAGAUAAUUCUUAUAUAUUGUGUUGUUAUCUUAAAACAUAUUCUUAUAUAUAUAUGUUUUAUUUUAAAAAAUAUAUAAAACAAUUAAUAAAUUUUAAUUAAACAUAUAUAUUUAAUUAACUUUGUUAUAUAUAUUUAUGUUUUAUUUAAUUUUUUGAAAACAUAAAUAAUAAGUUAUUAUGCUGAUUUUGAAUUAAAAAAAAUAAACUAAUAAAUAGUUGUAAAACGAUUAAGCCUGCAUAUGCGGGCAAGACACUUAGUUUUGUUAUUAUUAUUGUAGUUUAGAUAUAAAUAAGUAAUAUACUACAAAAUUAUGUUUUUGUAAACAAAAUUUUAUUUAUAAAUUUUACAAAAAAAUUAAAUAAUUAAUAAAUAUUUUUUCGAAUAAAGUCGCGGAAAUCGUUUUUUUAAAAGAAAUCUUAAGACCCACCACUCCGUGAAAGGAUGCAACUAACAAAGAGGGAGGGUCAGCUGACCCCACAAAAUAAUUAUUAAACAUUAAAGAUAAAUUUAAUUAUACAACUAAAAUAUUUAUACAUUUUUAUCUUUAAAACUUAAGAUAUGUUAGUUUUAAUCUCAUUUUUUUAUAGUUAAAAAAAAUUAUAACGCUGAUAUAAGAAAAAAAAAAUUCUGAUCUGGUAUAAAAUAUUUCGGGCUCCGGCGGACUGCAUGAAACAUGUAUUGCAAUGUAAAGAGAAUGGUAAUGUCCCAACCAUCAUCCACCAAGAAGAGUUGAACAAUAUAUAGUAUCCCAGCGGUUAGAGUAUUUAGCAUUUAUUAAAAGUUAUAGAUGAUCAAUGGUACAGAAAUUUACUACCUUUGCUAUCAAAGUACUGUUUAUAAGUAAAGGCAACAUCAGUAAUUAAUAUUUGCAGGAAUUUACAGAUGCAUGGUGAUCAAAAAGAGUUUCGAAGUAUCUGAUCAUACCAGAUUAAUUUGAGUCAUUGGUUGAUCCCAGUGGAUAAUCUUUUAUUAUUGGCCUCGAAGGCUUUAAUUAACAUUUAGUCUAUUCUGUUCAUUGGACUACUUGUGAAUAGAUUAAUUGUUCUGUUCUUUUUGGCGCAUCCUUAAUUAUCACUUUUUAUGAAGUAGCAAGAGUAACAAAAAUUAAAAAACACCUCUUUUAUUACGGUCUACGAGUAGUUCUUAUUACAUUAGCCGCGAUUUUAAAGUACAUUAUUUAUGGAACACAUACCAUGGCUGCGUAGUGUUAACAUACAUCAACAACCACACCCAUCAUCGUGGUAUAUACACUCAGAGGGUUUCGUUUUGAAUCUAGUAGGAGGGGCCAGGCAUGGUCUUCUGGAAGGGACAAACGCUAACUUGCGGGAUGUUGCAAACUUUAGGUAAGUGAGUAGCGGUCUGGUAGAUUCGGCUAAUUACAUGCUGCAUCUGCUGUCCCUGCAUUUGUCCCUGUUGUCGAACCUGCUGUUUAACGGCUUUGGAUGCUCCUUUCAAGGUUGGGCAAACGCAAAGUGGCUCUUCCUGGUGGAGCUCGUUGCAGCACUGCUGGAGUAGUGGCGGCCUCUGUUGUGGGCCCUGGGGGUUCUCCAUGUCAUCUUCAAAAUCAAACUCACCAUCGAGGGUCCAGCUAGGACCACUACCGGACUGCAUUGCCUGCUUGUGGAGCCAUUGUUGGCAAGCUUUCAGGUGUUGUGCUUGCUGAAACUCCUUCCUACAUUUUGGAAUCCUAAAUGGGCCCGCUGGGUUUGUGGCAUCUUCAUCGACUUCCACAACCGUCCUGUAGACGGAGGCAUUGGUGAGAAGGAAGAAAAAGGCGAGAG